CUUCACCUUGUUCCUGUGCGCACGGAGGAACUUGAGCGGUAUCAUGUCCGUGCGCUCGUCGUCGCCCACCAGCGACACGCCUAAAUCAGCGCUGGUGGCCGCCUCGGGCUCAAACGAGGAGGUGACAACGGUCUCCUCAACAGCUGCUCGAAUAGCGUCAUCUUCCGGUAUCGCUGCAGAUGUCGCCGCCUCGCUCUACGCAGCCUUCCACCUCAAUAUCUCCUCUGCCCUCUCGCGUCCGCUCCUCGACCGCUUCAUCGUCGCCGGAAGGGAGCUAGGCAUUAUGCCUUUAUAGGGAGGAUCGACAUGACUGUUUUAGGAUCUGAAAUUUACGAGCUUUAUCUGCUAGCCAGGGAUGGGAUGACGAGAACGCCGUGGGUGGUUGUGAGCGCGACACGCAAUGGACGAGUGGAGAAUCGGUUGUGCGCUAUGGACUGCCGAUUGAUUUUUGUAAAAGUUUAGGGAGGUUUUUGUAAAAUUUUGACCGUCGAAACUAAUGAUUUAAGUAUAGUAGAGAAGUAGAGAUAUGAGCAUAUAAAAAUAGAUGGCAUAUGACUCUUGAAUGACUAUCAGCUGUUGAUCAUGGAUCCUACGGAGGAUAUUUUGUACAGGUUCGAUGUUAUAAUGAGGGCCCUAGAUCUCGGAUCAGACGAUCCAGGUUACAUCAUGUUAAGCCAGCCAAAUCAGUUCUUCAAAAGAGCCCCCAACAAACAUAGGAAAUAACUCACCAUCCAGAGCAAGUUGAAGAGCAUUUAAAUUAGGUCCUUGGUUUAUGCAGAUUAGACCCUUACUUUCAUCUAAAUAGGAGCCGCAAUCCGUAGUGGCCUGAAAUACCCAAAAUAAAUUAGUAAAAUGAUUUUCAUUGCAAAAAUAAAUAUAACGAACUUAGAAAAUCCAUAACUUCUUCGUUUUAACUGCAAUUUUAGUGAUUCUCGAACCUACGGAUUCGUGGCAACUCAUAAAAUAUUAUUGUGUAGUUUGUUUUUAAGUUUGGUGUACUGUAAGUUUUAAUUGUUACUUGUCUAUAUGUUUGUACUGCUACGAUUAGACGGACGAGUGUACAGGGAUCAAGACUUUUGAAGAGAUCUGGUCAAUAGGUUAUCGCAAGUAAAAUACAAGUUGUGUCCAUGAUCAUAUUCUUUAACCUAACAAUAUUUAUGAUUUUGGUCUCACUGCUGCGCUGUUAGGUUAAAUUGUUAGGCAACCUAAUAUGUUACCUAGUCUUAUUUACCUUAUACCGUGCAUAUAUAUGAAUUAUUAGUUAGUCUUGCUAUUGCUCUACCUAGUUUUGGGGUUAAUAUUAUAUCGGAAUUAUGAUCAUGCUUUACUACUAUUAUUGACUUUAUUAUUAUACAUGGUAAGAUCAUUUUAUUAAUUAGAACAUGGAGAGAUCACUCGAGACAACAGUGCUACCACAAGGGUUAAAUGGCACGUCCUUGGCCAAUUAAUUAGGAAAGCUUGUGUGCGUUAAUCCUUUCCCGAAUGGGGAAGCGGGGAGUGAGUUGUUGCAGUUACAGGGAGGUUCUCAGGUCGAUCUAUCUAUAAUAGAUUUUCGGACGAGUGAUUCAUAUAUCUCCCCCUUCUACCUGAAUAUGUAGCGAGUUUUUGUAACACCCUGACUUUGGGGGUAUAAAUUUUUUUCUCUAAUAUCCAUCAAAUUCAGGUGUUACUUUCUUGUUCCUCUUUAUUUUCACUCCUUUAUUUAUUUCUUUCCAAGUAAUAGGAAAUUUUACUCCAGUUAUAGCUAUUAAUAAAACCCUAAGGGAAUAAUGAUUGAUGCAUCAUGCGGAAAUAUAUUUGUUUUUGUGUGAUGUUUUGCUUUGGUAUGUAUCCAUGAAAUAUGUAGCUCAUUAGUGUAAAUAAAUUUGAUAGUCGGAAAUAGAAAAAGAAGAAAGAAGAAAAAUAAUAAAAGGGAAAGCCUCCCUCAGCCCCCGCGGCCUGCGUCACGCUAGUGGCCCAGCUCCCGGUGCAGGCUUGCGCGCGCGCCCAGCCACCUCCCUGCGCGGGGCCUAGCAGCAGCGCCAGCUCAGCUGGCCCACCCCGCCGUGGCUCACGCGUGCAGCCGCGCGCUCGCCCAAGCCCCGGUGCAGCGCACUCCUCACCAACCUUAGCGCCGCCGCCAUGCCUGUACAGCGCGCGGGCAUGCUCGCCCAGCUGCCCCGGCCCAGCCCCGCGCCCCGCGUCUCCCCAGCCCGUGCGCAGGGAUGCUCACGCGCCCCACCGCGCUCGCCGCGCCGCAAGCGCAACCGCCACCAUUGCCCGCGGGACCCACGUGUCAGGCGGUCUUCUCCAACCGCCCACCCGCGCCGGACGCCCACGUCGCCCUCACCUCUAGCCUGCCCCGCGUGGCACUCGCCCACGACGCCGAGAAACCCAACGUCUGCGCCCACGCUCUUCUAUCCGAGCAUCUGCACCUCCUCUCCUCUUCCCUCCAUCAUUUCCCCAAUCGCCAGCACACCCGAUGCCUCCAAAACCGUCGCCUAGUCCUCACCUCGCCAUCCCCGACGUGCUUUCGGAGCUCGCCGUCGAAACCACCGCACCGGAGUCCGUCCUCGCCGUUCGUCACCGCAGUGAGCUCGCGCCCAUACUCCCUUCUCCCCUUCCCCUUUAUCCUUUUUCCCUGACGCGGUUGAUGCUCAGCCUGCCCUGCCUCCGGCGCGGUGCGUGGUGCGACAGGUGUUCAACGCGACCUAGGUGCGCAGCCCGCUUGGCAGUCCGUGCAUGGCCGCGGUGAGCAACGUGGCCGGCGUAGUCUGUGCGGCAUGCGUGACUCUCAUCCCCCGUCGCGUCGGCUCGUCCCUGUGCAUGCGAUGCCCGCCGCGUUCGUGCCCCACUGCCCGUGGCGUCAUCGUUCAUCACGCGUCAGAACUCUGACGACACUCGCCUAGGCCCUCGUCUACCCCUAGACAUAGCCGUCUACCCCCCCCCCCCAACGAGCCCGUUUGUCUGUCCCGCGCGUCGUGUGUACCGAUUUCGCGUCCCGCUUUUUGCGCGUGUUAUUAUUAUUCCUCGCGUAAAGUCGACUAGGUUGGUUAAUUAAUUAUACAUUAACCGUGUAGCGAUCUUGUGGACACGUUAAAUAUAUGUUGCCACCACAAUUGUUUUAGUUAAAUAAUUAAAUUAUUGGUUGGUUCGAUGGUUAUUAAAAUGACAAUUUAUUUAGAACGAGUCUAUAGUUUUAACUCAUGCUUUUAUAAAUAUAAAAGUUAAUUAACUCGAUUAAUGCCAGCUUAAAUACUUUUAAUUAAUUAUUUGUUUGUUGUUGGUUGCGCGCGUCAUCGUGCUGUUCGCGCGUGUAGUCGCGUUGACUCACGCGUGUCUCGAGCUGUCGUGCGUGUUGUUUCAUGUGCCACGAUGUUGUUUCGCACGCGUCGUCGCGUGUCGUUCGCGUUGUCGCGCGCGUGUUCGAGUGUCAUUCGCGCGCUGUUUGCGCGCGUCGUCAUUCCUUCACACAUUCGUGCCACGCGUCUGGUUCGCGUGUCGAUCACGUGUGUCGCGCGGCGUUUGUGCGUAAUGACAAAUUGUUUUCGCAUAUAAGCACUCAUGCUAGUAACAUUAAUUCAUCAGGUCAUAUAUGUUAGAUAAUUAACUUAAGGUUCGCUCGACUAAUAUUUAUUAGAUUAAUAUUUCAAUUAGAUUAAAUAAGUAGUGUUUGAAAGGGAAAUAGGCUUUAAACCUUUUCCUAAAUGAUUUUGGUGGUUGAAUGUCCAACACAAAUAAUUGGACUAACUAGAUUGCUCUAGAUUGCAUGUUCUAUAGGUGUCAAAGAUUCAACAAAAACCAAUAGAAAGAACAAGACAGGGUUCAAAACAAAGGAGCAAAAAGAAACUGAAGUGCUCCCUGGUCUGGCACACCGGACUGUCCGGUGUGGCACCGGACAGUGUCCGAUGCACCACCGGACAAUGUCCGGUGCACCAGGGAGGAUUGCCUUCGAACUCUUCACCUUCGGGUUUCUCAGGCGCAACCCACUAUAAUUCACCGGACUGUCCGGUGCACCACCGGACAGUGUCCGGUGCUCCAGAGUGAAGCGGCUCUGAACUGGCCAGCUUCGGGAAAAUGGAAGGCCGCUCCGCUAAAAUUCACCGGACUGUCCGGUGUACACCGCACUGUUGCGCCAGCGGAGCAACGGCUACCUCGCACCAACGGUCGACUCUGACAGCGAACAGUGCGCAACAGUACACGUGGCAGAAGUCAGAGCAGAAGGACAGAGGGGCACCGGACUGUCCGGUGUGCACCGGACUGUCCGGUGCCACAUGAGGACAAAGCCUCCAACGGUCGACCAGCUCCAACCCCAACGGAUAGGAUGACGUGGCUGGCGCACCGGACACUGUCCGGUGUGCACCGGACUGUCCGGUGCGCCCAUCGCCAGUAGCCUUCUCCAACGGCUACAUUUUGGUUGGUGGCUAUAAAUACCACCCCAACCGGCCACUUCAAAGUGUGGGAGCCCAAGCAACAUUCCAAGUCAUCUAGUUGACAUACUCAAGCCCUCCCAACCACAUAUAUUCAUUGAUACAUCCUAUACACAAGAUCUAGACCACUACAACCAACACAAGUGCCACAAAAGAGAGAGCAAACAAUUGAGAGCUACUCAAUUGAGUUUAGCCCUAGUGCCUUGUGAGAUUCAUUGAGAGAUAGUGUGUGCUACAUCUUUGUGUUCAUUUGUGCGUGGAGUUUUGACUCCCAUUGAACUUCCUCCAAAGUUUUGGAGGCUUGUAAAAGCUAGCAAGAGACACCAAAGAGUGUGGUGGUCCUUGUGGGAUCGAGAGUGAUCCUUGAGAAAAAGAAGAGCUCGCCGAUCCUUGGGUGAUCGGUGGAGAGAGGGAAAGGGUUGAAAAAGACCCGUCCUUGUGGACUCCUCAAUGGGGACUAGGCCUUCGAGGGCCGAACCUCGGUAAAACAAAUCACCCGUGUCCAUUGUGUUUAUUGCUUGUGAUUUGUUUGUUUUCCCUCACUCUAAGUUUUUCCUUGCACUAUUCUUUGCUAACCUUAUUUGGUGUUGCCUUAAGUUUAAAUUCUCAUUUAGUGAGGCAACACAUUGCAAGAAAGAACUCGCGGCAUUACUCUUCUUAUCUAAGCCCUUGUGAUUUAUUCUCAUAGAUUUAUUAGUAGUAUUGAUUUAUCAAUUCCGCAUUAUUCGAAAGCAAUACUCUUUACAAGCAAGGACUUAGUUUUUAUACUCCGAUAAUUGUAUAUCUUGUUCUAACCAAUAAUCAAGGGAUCUAGUUGGGGGAUAAAGUUUUAAUUUUUAGGUUUCGCCUAUCCACCCCCCCUCUAGGCGACUUUCAAUUGGUAUCAAAGCUAGGCACUUCAUAUUGAGUCUAACAACUCGAAGUGAUGGCUCGUAGAAGAUCCCAAAAGAACAAGAAGACAACUCCGAAGGAGAUCAAUGAGGUAACUCUUGAGAUAUUACUUUCCGAUUGUUCUAAUUAUGAUUCAUGGUCCACUAGAGUAAUAAAUGCCUUUAGAAUCAUAGAUCCACAAUUAGAACAAAUUUUAGACAAGAGUAUUAUUCCUCCUAACUAUGCUAGGGAAAAUGCAUCCGAAGAAGAUUUAAGAUGUAUUCGCUUAAACUAUCUAGCUUAUGACAUCUUAAGUAAAUCCCUUAGCAAAGAAGAUUAUCAUGCUUUCAUAAUAAAAUAUGAUAAACCUAUUUGUGAUGUGCAUGAUAUUUGGACUAGAAUUAAAACUAAAUUUGAUAAGUCCAAACAUGAUAGUUCUUUUUGUGCUUCUACUUCCUUUGGUAUUUGUGAUACUAAUCAUUGCAAGGAAGAAGAAGAAAAUGAUCGAUGGAGACCAAACGAUGAAUCCACCUCUCCAAAAGGUUUGUCUUCCCAUUUCGAUUCACACAUGUGUUGUGUGGCUAAUGAAAAUGAUAGCGGAAGCACAAACAAGGAUGAGGAGGAAGAAAGGAGCUUUGUGCAACUCUACGCUCGCCUAAGCCAAGAAGAUAAGGCGGUCAUGCUCAAACUUCUAGAAAGAGUGAGAGAGCAAAGCGAAGCUCGUCAAAGGCUAGAAGAUAUUCUCUCCAUAAAAAUGCUACACUUUGACGAGUUGACUAAAGAACAUGAGGAGCUAAAGUGCUCUCAUGUUGAUUUGGUCCAAAGGUAUGAAACUAUUUCAAUUGAGCAAGAUAAUGCUUUACAUUGUAUCGCUCAAUUAGUGAAUAGAAAUACCUUGCUUAAGGACCAAUUAGAAAAGCUAAAAAUUGAAAAUCUAGCUUUUCUAGAAAAACAUGAUAUGCUUCUAUGUUCUUAUGAAAAUCUUAUGGAUGAUCAUAUCAUGUUAGACAUUACUCAUGAGGUUGUGAUAGAAAAUUUAAAUUCCCAACAACCUCACUCAUGCACAUGUACUCAAAUUCAAACUAUACUACCAUGAGCUAAUGCUUGUUGUCCGUCAACAAGCAACUCUUCCUUUGAGCUAGGAUUUGCAGGAACAAAAGAUGAUAUAUAUCAAAAGCUCAAGGAAGAAAAUGAGAGGCUAAAUAUGAGCUUGACACAACUUAAUGGGAAGUGCAUUGCUCAACCUUCUCAAGAUAACCGUGAUCACAUGGUGAAGAAGCUUGAGACGGGAACAACCGUAGCAUGCACAAAAUCCCUUGAAGAAAAUGUCAAGAACUUGAGGAUUGCCAAGAGGAAGAAGCAAAAGAUGAAGAUCAAUGCCUCCUUCAAAAGCCUCAAUCAUGCCUCCUCAAAAGGUAACAUCCAAGGUAAUAAUCAAGUCACACUUCAUACUGAGAGUAGUAAGAAGUGUAGUAAAUGCUUUGAAAAGGGACACUCAAUUAAGUCAUGUUCCUAUAUUAAUGACUUGAUUAUUAAGGAUGAUAAACUUUGUUUUAAUUGCUCAAAGAAGGGACACUUAAUCAAAUCUUGUCCCUAUGUAAAACAAAAAGGCAUGUUGUUGGAAGAGAAAGUUUUCACUAACCAUGUAGCAAGCAAGAAACAAGGAAGGAAGAAGUCUUCAAAACUCAAAAAGCGCCUCUGCUACACAUGCCGAAAGAAGGGACAUCAAUGCAAGGAUUGUCCCAUUGGUAACAACCCCACUCCUAACUUGUCAUUUGAUUCAUAUAUAACUAGGCAACCCAAGAUUGUAACUUGUGCUAGAAAGGUAACGAGUUUACCAAGCGCUAGCACAAAGAACACUUGGGUUCCUAGAUCUUUGUUUACUAACCUUAACGGACCCAUCAAGCGAUGGGUACCAAAAUGUGCUUGACAAGCUUUGUAGGAGAAGGAGAUGAUAUGAAGCCUUGGCGUGCUUAAGGGAGUUAAUUCAAUUCUUAUCAACUCAAGCUAUUAAUCUUCAAAUGAUCUACAUAUUCAAGAUUGAACCAAGGUUACUUCAAUUUAUUGUAUUCAAAACCCAUAUCAUCUCGGGGAAGAUAUUGAUGUUGUAGGAAUUGAAGAAUCAUCAUGUGCGGAAAAUCAAGGCCUACAACAUGGAGGACUGUCAAAGGAUGGUAACACUUAUGCUUUUAAGUGCAAGUAUCUUAAAUUAUCAUUUCUUAUGUGUCUUGUGUAGUCUCAUGGAAAAAGGAAGCACUUAAGAUGUUUUUAAAUUUAUGUCACCAUUCUUAGAAGAAAUUCCUCUCAUAUGGUAGAUUACAUAUUCUUCAUUUCUAUAUUAUGACAAUCUACAUGCUUUAAAAUUGUUGCUUUUUCCCAUGGCAUGGUUUACACUAAUUAUUCUAUCAUUGCCAUGUUCUAGAUAUAGAGAGAUAUUUCAUGUUCUUAAAAGAAUAAGGUGUCCUGUAAGGAAUUCAAAUACUUAGGACACUUAUAAAAGGAAAAUUCUCUCUAUAGCUAGAAAAGUGAGACUAAUGUUUUAUCUAAGUAAUUUAAGUAGUCUCACUUAUAGAAAUAAUUUUCUCUUUGAAGAUGCGUAAUCCAUCAUGACAAGGAAAAUCAAUCCAAUAAUUUAUGUUGUAUGUCUUUUUGCUUAAAUUGGAUAUGAUUCUUCUACAUUUAUCGCUUUCCAUAUCAUGAAUUAGAUUUAUUCCCAUGAUCUUAAAGGAUUGGUUAUGCUUGUUUUAUGAGUUAAAAUUGGCAUAACAUCUUCUAUGGAUAAUCUAGUUCAUGCUAUGAAGUUUCCAUGCUUUUAGUAAUCUAGUUUUUCAUUCCUUAUCAAAAUGAUUACAAAAAGGGAAACUAGUGCUUGUGUUGCCAUUAACCUUUCGCUUGAGCUUACUUAUGAAAAUCAACAAGAGAGUAUGUGCAAGUUUAAUGACACAAGCCUCAAAGGGUUGAUCUUCACCCAUAGGAAGAAAGGUAAAAGCAAAGGUAUGGGAACUCAUCUCCUUAACCAAAUGUAGUUCCCAUCAAUGACUGUUUACUAUAAUUAUAUCUUUGUGAAGAAAUAGAUUCUUUAUUGAAUUUAAAUUGGCUAAGAAGUGCAUUCAGCCUCAAUCUCAUUAAUGCACUUGUCCAUUAGAAUCUAUUUCAUACCUUUGCUAUAAAUGUUCUCAUAUUGACUUGUUUUUAAAGUAAUGAUUAAUAAACUCAAUAUAAAGAAGUAAAUUCCUAUGAUUGAUCAAAUGGUUAAAUAGUGCAUAUUCCUCUUUUCCUAUGAUGUGCACUAAUGCUAGGGAUUUUACUUCAUGUCUGUGUGACUUAUGGAUGAUGAAUUGUUCAUAUUUAUUUUCUAAAAGAAAUCAUCAUUCAUCAUAUACUUCCUUGCGCUAUUGACAUCUCUCUUGAGUAUUUUAAAUAAGUUUGGAAGGAAAAAGAGACAACUACAAAGGGAGGACACUCAAAUGAAAAAGGAAGAACAUCAAGAACAACAACACCUACUUGGACAAUAAGGUCUUCACAAUAAUCAAUGGUGUGGUUGUAAGCAUUCUAAAUCUUUUUCAUUGUGAGAAUACAAGGCUUAAGUUGUUUAUUGCAAAUUUUAUAAGCCUUGAUCAAGAUGUAUAAUGGGUCUCCCUUUAUGUCUUUAAAAGUGAAUGCAUCGAAAUCAAUUCUUUCAAUUACUUGAUGCAUAUCUUUAGGGGGAGUCCAUUCCUAUAUUUUGAUUAUGUUGAGACUAUUGCUUUAUCUUAGUAAUUUCAUAUAGUCUCUUUGAUGAGAAUAAUGUUUCUCAUAAAGUAUGCUACUCCACAUCAAUUCAACUUGUUAAAAUAAUGUCGCUUUUAUCAAGGAUUGUUGCUUUCAUUGCUAAAGUAGCUUGCUUACUGGAUUCUCCUAUAAUAAGCUUAUUUGUUAAUCUAAUACUCAUAUUGUUCUUUUGUUAUUUGUUUGAUCAUUGAAUAACUUCUAUUAACACUUAUACUUCUUAGUGCCUCAUAUAAAAUCAAUCAAUAUCUCUUGAUAUGCACUAAGUUGAAAGGAGAAUUCAUGUUGCCUUUAUACAAUUCGUGAUCCAUUUAAUUUAAUCUAACAUUAACUUGGAAAAGGAUCACUAGUUGUAGAACUCUCUCUUGUGCAAAUAUUUCCAUAUAUUGUCUUGAGUAUAGGUCUUAAGCAACUAAGACUAAGGACAAUGCACAAUGAAGAGAGCAUCUCUAUUUGAAGGUACAAAAGGGUAAAACUACUUCUUUUGAUUCAAACUUGUACCUAAAAUCUUCCUUUUCUAUACUUUCCUUACAUAUCUUGUAUAAAAGGAAGAGAAAGCAUGUCCACGCAUUUUUUCCUGCUUCAUACCUAGUUUAUCCUCUCAAACUUUUCAUUCCUGCAUUUAUGCAUCUUUGUUAAAACUGGAUGAAGUAAUCUUAUUGUCAAAAAGCUUAAAGCUUAACCUUGUAACGAGGAUAAGCUGCCUUUGUUCCAAAGGUGGAUGGUCCUUAAGCCUCUUUGAAAUCCUUAAGGGAAAAUGCUUAAGACACUUAUAACAUGCUUUCAUAAGUGCAUAAACUGUCAUGAGCAUCACACUUAUACUAGGACACAAUGCACUUCACAUUCUGUAUGGUAUAGAUAUGUUCUCAUUAACCUCAUUAUGUGCAAUUGGCAUUUCAAGGCCAAAAUAUGUAUUCCUAUCAAGGCACAUAUUUAGGGGGAGCAAUCUAUAUUAUAUAGAACUAUGAUCAUGCUUAAUUGACAUAUCUUUUGAUCAUAUCUCUUUCAUUUUGGUACAAAUGCAUAUAUCUUAUUAUUCUCGUACCAUGACUACGACUAAUAUGUUUCCAAGUAUAUUUCUAUACUAAGUCGUAGAUUAAAAGGGAAAUGGAGUCUUCGGCGAAGACAAGGCUUCCACUCAACUCUAUCGGUACCAUUUAUCCUUCGCCAUCACUCCACACUAGCUCUCCACAUUGGUAUAAUCUUUCACUCAUAUACUAUUUGCCAAAGGGGGAGACAACUUAAAAGGGCUUAUAUUUCACUCAAAGUAUCCGUUUUUGGCAAUUCAUGCCAAAGGGGGAGAAAGUAUUAGCCCAAAGCAAAAGGACCGCACCACCACCAAUUUUCAAAAUUUAAAAGGUCUUGAAAUGAUGAAUUUUCAAUUGGUAUAGUCUUUCAAUUUGUUUUUAAAGAAGUAUUUUCAAAUUGGUAUCUUACGUGUGAUAUAAUUUCAAAUUGAUAUACCCUCUUCAAAAUUAAUAUCAAAACCCUCUUGAACUCUAAGAGGAGGAUUUCAUUAAGGGGGAGUUUUGUUUAAGUCAAAGGAAAAGCAUUUCGAAACAGGGGGAGAAAAUCUCAAAUCUUGUAAAUGUUUCUCAAAAUUCUUAUUCAUCUACCUUUGACUAUUUGCAAAAGACUUUGAAAAGAAUUUCCAAAACGUUUGCAAAAACAAAACAUGUGGUGCAAGCAUGGUCCAAAAUGUCAAAAAUAUAAAGAAACCAUUCAUGUAUAUCUUAUGAAAUCAAUAUUGGUUUAAUUCCAAGCAAUCUUUGCACUUACCUUAGGCAAACUAGUUCAAUUAUGCUCUUAUAUAUUUGCUUUGGUUUGUGUUGGCAUCAAUCACCAAAAAGGGGGAGAUUGAAAGGGAAAUAGGCUUUAAACCUUUUCCUAAAUGAUUUUGGUGGUUGAAUGUCCAACACAAAUAAUUGGACUAACUAGUUUGCUCUAGAUUGCAUGUUCUACAGGUGUCAAAGAUUCAACAAAAACCAAUAGAAAGAACAAGACAGGGUUCAAAACAAAGGAGCAAAAAGAAACCGAAGUGCUCCCUGGUCUGGCACACCGGACUGUCCGGUGUGGCACCGGACAGUGUCCGAUGCACCACCGGACAAUGUCCGGUGCACCAGGGAGGAUUGCCUUCGAACUCUUCACCUUCGGGUUUCUCAGGCGCAACCCACUAUAAUUCACCGGACUGUCCGGUGCACCACCGGACAGUGUCCGGUGCUCCAGAGUGAAGCGGCUCUGAACUGGCCAGCUUCGGGAAAAUGGAAGGCCGCUCCGCUAAAAUUCACCGGACUGUCCGGUGCGCCAGCGGAGCAACGACUACCUCGCGCCAACGGUCGACUCUGACAGCGAACAGUGCGCAACAGUACACGCGGCAGAAGUCAGAGCAGAAGGACAGAGGGGCACCGGACUGUCCGGUGUGCACCGGACUGUCCGGUGCCACAUGAGGACAAAGCCUCCAACGGUCGACCAGCUCCAACCCCAACGGAUAGGAUGACGUGGCUGGCGCACCGGACACUGUCCGGUGUGCACCGGACUGUCCGGUGCGCCCAUCGCCAGCAGCCUUCUCCAACGGCUACAUUUUGGUUGGUGGCUAUAAAUACCACCCCAACCGGCCACUUCAAAGUGUGGGAGCCCAAGCAACAUUCCAAGUCAACUAGUUGACAUACUCAAGCCCUCCCAACCACAUAUAUUCAUUGAUACAUCCUAUACACAAGAUCUAGACCACUACAACCAACACAAGUGCCACAAAAGAGAGAGCAAACAAUUGAGAGCUACUCAAUUGAGUUUAGCCCUAGUGCCUUGUGAGAUUCAUUGAGAGAUAGUGUGUGCUACAUCUUUGUGUUCAUUUGUGCGUGGAGUUUUGACUCCCAUUGAACUUCCUCCAAAGUUUUGGAGGCUUGUAAAAGCUAGCAAGAGACACCAAAGAGUGUGGUGGUCCUUGUGGGAUCUAGAGUGAUCCUUGAGAAAAAGAAGAGCUCGCCGAUCCUUGGGUGAUCGGUGGAUAGAGGGAAAGGGUUGAAAAAGACCCGUCCUUAAGUGGACUCCUCAACGGGGACUAGGCCUUCGAGGGUCGAACCUCGGUAAAACAAAUCACCCGUGUCCAUUGUGUUUAUUGCUUGUGAUUUGUUUGUUUUCCCUCACUCUAAGUUUUUCCUUGCACUAUUCUUUGCUAACCUUAUUUGGUGUUGCCUUAAGUUUAAAUUCUCAUUUAGUGAGGCAACACAUUGCAAGAAAGAACUCGCGGCAUUACUCUUCUUAUCUAAGCCCUUGUGAUUUAUUCUCAUAGAUUUAUUAGUAGUAUUGAUUUAUCAAUUCCGCAUUAUUCGAAAGCAAUACUCUUUACAAGCAAGGACUUAGUUUUUAUACUCCGAUAAUUGUAUAUCUUGUUCUAACCAAUAAUCAAGGGAUCUAGUUGGGGGAUAAAGUUUUAAUUUUCAGGUUUCGCCUAUCCACCCCCCCUCUAGGCGACUUUCAGUGUUCAACUGCGCUUUUAUAAUAAAUAUUAACAUGACCAAUAUUAACUUAACUGCUUUUUAAUUAUUUAAUAUUUGUUUAGUAUAAACGUGUCACCUAUUUAGUUUUCCUCGUCUGUCGCGCGUGCUGUUCCGCACGUGGUGGCGUGCUGGUUGGCGCGUCGUUUAGGGCUGGAAAUGGAUGUCUGAAGAUCCGAAUUAUCUGUAUUCGUAUUCUCUAAAACUGCUAAUAUGGAUAUACAUAUUCGUAUUCGAUUUCAAUAUGGAUGUCAAAUGGAUGUAUUCGAAUUCGAUUUAUAAUACUUUUCUCUAUCUCAUUCCAUAUUCAUAUUCGAAAAAACUAUGAAACAUCUGAUACUAUCCGUAUCCGUGAAAAAAUAUGUUUCAUGAAACCAUUUAAAACUUAACUUUAUCACUAAUUACUAAUUAAAAAUGAUUUUAAGUUUAAUAAUAUAAUAGGAAAAUGAUAUAUAUCAUUUGAAAUAUUAAACAAUAUUUAUAUGAUAAAAAAUAAAUAUAUCAACCUUAUAUUUCUAGUGAUAUUCAAUAAUAAAAUUCAAUAGGUUUCAUAAACAUUCAAUUAUAACUCUCCACUUUAUCUAUAUAGUGAACACAUCUCAACGAAGUUUCAUAAACAUUCAACUAUAACUCUCCACUUUACAAUAUAAAGAUAAAUUUCUUCAUGUUUUCAUUUAAGUUUUGGUACACACAUUUAUAUAGGACAUUCAUUCAUUUUAAAAUGAAAAAAUUGUUUUUACUGGUACAUAUACUAUUUUAUAUCAAUUCUAAUUUACUUGUAUUUAUACAAAUGUCACUUAUUAAAUAUCACGUGUUGUUGUUUAUCUUUUGUUACAUGCUUUGAUAGUUUAAAAAUAUUAUUUAUAUAGUUUUGUUGACUUUGAUAUGGAGGAUCACGAGAAAUCUAUUUUAAUUUAAGUUUGUUUUGACUAUCUAUAAACUUGUACUUAAAUAAAAAUCCACAUAUACAUAUGCUAAAUUUUAGGGUGUGCUAUUUGAGUUGAAUUGAGUAAAUAUCUGAAUAAGAAUUCGGAUUCGACUAUCCGUUUUGUAUUCGUAUCCGAAGAUAUUUGAAUUCGUAUCCGAAUUCGGACAAAAAUAUGGUAAACUGUGACAUUCGUAUUCGUAUCCGUGCGUAUUCGUAUCUGUGCGUAUUCGAUCCGUUCCCACCCCUAGCGUCGUUCGCGCUCGUCGCGCGUGCUGUUUCGUGUGUCGUCAGCGUGCUAUGUCGCGCGUGUCCGCGCGUCGUUUGCACGCUGUCAUGCUGUUUCAGACGUCAUAAAUUCAUCUCGCUUAGAAUCUCUCGUUUUAAUUAAAUUAUUUAAUUAUCUGACAUUGGUUAGUGUAGCAGAUUAAUCGAACUGACUGAUGUAUAAUAUUUAUAUUUGAUAAUGUUGAACUAAAAGUUAUAGUCAAUACUUGUUUAGCGUUAAUGUGCUAACUUCUCAACCGUAGCUUCGAGUUCGACGUUUCUUUCCCUCGCGUGACCAUAGAUUCGAGCUCUAUUUUAUGCUGCAUGUUUUUAUAACAUUUUAUCUUGUAUGGUGUGAUGUUCUUAUGCAUAUAUAUAUGUUUGUUUGCUUUUGCUUGUUCGUCUUCGCUUUGCGUCGCGAAUAGAUCGUGAUUCGUUUCCGAGCUUCGAGGAAUCGAAGAUCAAGCUUCGGCGACCAAGUGGUCAGGUUCUUCGAGUUCUACAGAGUUGAAGACCCUGAGCAUCUGUUUGGUGAAGGCAAGUGUUCUCUGACCUAUUAUGUCCUACUUACUUUAUAAUUCAUCGUCCCGUAUUACUUUAUGAAGACCUAAGGAUUGACUAGUUUGUAUUUACCUUAUCCUUGUUUACCUUUUUGGGUUAACCAUUGUUAGCUUUAUGCUAUUGCUUUAACUUAAUCAAUGAACUUGAUGUGAUUACUUAUGAUACGAUGAUGUUAUCCCGAUGAUGAUAUUGUGAUACUCUAGGGGGCUCAGGCCUUUUCCUGAGUACCUCUCCGUAAGGACCUAUUCGUGGAGUGACCACCCGGGAUAACAGUGCAACCAUGAGGGUGGAAUGGGACGCCCUUAGCUGAUUAAUUAGAUGAACCUGGGGUGUAGUUGGCUUUGCCCGAGGGCCAUCAAUGGGGGCUAGGGCGUGGUGCUCGCUCUGCCAAGGGGGGGGGGUGCAUAUGUUCAUUCGAUUUGGUUUUGUUAGUCACCCACCUUGGAGAGGUGUACUGCGUUUGUACGACUGGCGAAACCUAACGAGCAGCUAUGCACCAGGGGAGUCUUUGUAAAGGCUACGUAGUGGUACCUUGCAAGGCCACCUAGGUAGUGAUCAAUGGAGAGUAGCUCUCUCCGGGUAGAAAGGGAAUCACGACUCGUGGGUAAAGUGUGCGACCUCUGCAGAUGAUUAGAAACUGAUAUAUCAGUCAUGCUCACGGUUAUGAGCGGCCUUGGGAUCCUCUUUGAUUAGAGAUACAGAUGGUUCGAGAUGCAAUGAUUCUAUUAAUGGUUUUUGGUUCGACGAUGAUAAUGUUGUUCCUCGAUGAGGAAAUGGUUCAUGGGUUGGCUAUUACUAAAACUUGGCUCCCACUAAUAAUAAAUACCUGACAAACUAAAAGCAAUUGCUUGAUCUUAACUUCACAUAAAGCUAGUCCACCUCAAUCAAAACGGGACAUUUGCUGAGUACGUUGAUGUGUACUCACCCUUGCUUUCACAAAACACCAGGUUGCCUUUGGUGCAAUCUAUACUCAGGUAAAGAAGAAGGUGUCGAGGUGGACCUCCAGGAGUUCCAGGACUUCGACGAGUUCGAGGAUUAGGCUAGCGACCUCCCCCAGUCAACUGCCUGUGGUCGGUUUAUUUACAUUGGCUACGUUUCUAUUAUGUGCACUUUGAUUUAUAUUAUGUAAAUGACUCUAGUCUUUAAUAUUAUUACUUACUCUUUAUUGUUAUUCGAAGCAUUGUGCUAUGAUGAGUCAUUUAUGUAAUCGCUGAGUACGUGAAUUUCUGAUCCUGGCACGUACCUGGUCCACAUUCGGUUUACCUUUCAAAACCGGGUGUGACAGUUUUCUCAUGCUAGUGGCACUUUGGAAAGGCCUCGUAGUGGACCCUUCCUUGUCUCCUCGAUAGAGAUGAAUAUGAAGUCAUGAUACCUUGGCAAAUGGGUAACAUGACUUGUGGGUAAUGAUGUGCCACCUCUGCAGAGUGUAAAACUGAUAUAUCGGUCAUGCUCACGGUUAUGAGCGGCUCGGACCGUCACAAGAGUAAUUUAUGGAAUUAAAUUUAACAUGUCAUGCAUUUGCAUUGUGGGAUUUCAAUAUUGAUUAGUUAUUUAAUUGGGUUGAUAUUUACUAUACUUAGUGAUUGCUAAUAAAAACUUGACCAACAAAAUUAAAAGCAAUGCUCAGCCACAACCACAUUCCUUCCAUAAGUGAGCUCAUACACACUUUUUCCCACACUUGUUGAGCGAUGACCGUAUGGGAGCUCACCCUUGCUAUAAUCACAUCAGGUCAAAAACAAGUAUUCCCAAGAGGAGGAUCACCAUGAAGAAGAGUUUGGAGAGGUCUAGACCGUCGUCUCCUGGUCAACUAUGGUUGUGGAGGAUCAUUGUCGUCAUGUUGUAUUUUAUUUAGCUAUUAUAACACCCCGUCCACUCCCGGAACGACUGUACUUACUCCUGGCAGCUCUCUAGUAUCAUAUGUUGUUCACACAGACCAACACGAGUCUUUUGCGCACACUUUGUUCUCACUCAUGCACACCCGAGAAAACUUCCCGGUCGGUCACCCAUCCCAAAUUGCUGCAAGACAAACACGCUUAACUUGGAGGUUUUUUCGAGAUAGGCUUCCGAAAAAAAGAUGUGCUUUAUUGAUAUGAGUACUCUAUUAAUUUUAUUAAGCCUUGGGCUAGGAUAUCACUAUCCCCUAGGGUUAGGAUAUCACAGCUAUUUUGUACAGAAAUUAUAUUAAAUAAUAAAGAUGUGAUAUUGUUUUCUAUACAUUGAGUCGACGUAUGUGUUGAAACUUGAUCCUGUCACACAUGUGAGAUGUAUGGUCAUUAAAUUUGGGGUGUGAUAGUUGUGUUCAUGCUCGGGGCAUCUGCCAUGUGACAGACAAGUAAGUACGUCGGUCCGCACUGGCUGACGUAUUUAUUGGCCACAUGCUCAUUGCUCAUUAAGAUCGAUUAUUAUGGAUGCGAAUUUGCUUAUGUUAGCCGAAUUAUUGUGCAAGUUGUCCUCCAAUAGACUUAUAACCAUCUCUUUUUAUAUAUAUACAAGGUCUUGUGUAAAUGGCGUGGCAUAAUGCUGAAUAGAGAUUAUGUUUCAAAAAAUAUGGUUUCGUGAAAUUGAUCGGCUAGAUUACAACGUUCCAAAGUAUGAGCUAUGUCGUUCAGCCUCCCCUACAAUUUCUCCUAUACCUGGCCUUAAAUUAAUUAUUAGUGGGGGAGCAAUACACUACAACAACUUAUUCCCUACAUGAAAUAAAUGAAUGUACAUGCAUUUGGAGUCCGUUCAGUGAUUGAUCAUCAGCAGAUGAGUUCAUCGUCAUCACAGCUUAAACCGCGGCGGCCGCCGAGCCCAAUCCAGCAAACCCUUUGCUUGGAGACAUGACCGUCAUGUCCAGCUGCUGGCCGAACCAAUCUGCCGUGGCCGUGCAAAUGCCUGGCACGGCCACUUCUUUGGGCGUCGUCAACAAGAAACGGUCCUUGUCCUUGUCCCUAGCUCCCUCAACAGCCAGAAACAUUCCCACGAUCCUCGCCGCAGGGCUGACGACGUCCGUCUCCCACGCGUCGCGCUGUGCCUUUGGGUUCCCGGCGUUCCCGACCUUGAGCUGAAGCACCUCCGUGACGUCGAGGCGGUGGAUGUCGCUCCAGCCUUGGAGACCGUGGAGCCGGUGGAUCUUCUGCAGCUGGCGGCGCGCCAGGCCGCACGUGUUGGCCUUGAUCUCGUUAACGGCCGCGGCGAGGAGCCGCACUCGCAGCUGAUCAUCAUCGUCGCCGUCGAGAGCCCCUGCGGCCUCCAUCCGGAAGUACAUGUCCAUCUCCGGCACGCCGAUGGCCCUCCGGAUACCCCUGGAGUAGUCGGCGUCGUCGUGCCGAAAGAAGGCCCGCACCUCGCGGACGAGCCCCUGCUCCAGCAUGCAGUCCACGCGGCUCCCUAUGUAGCGGUCCAGCACCGCCAGGUCGCUGUCGACCCAGAGGAAGCAGCAUUCGUAGCGGCCGCGGAAGCCUGCAGGAGGUUCCCCGUCCAGCAGCGCCUCCAGGUAUCUGUUGGAGCCCCCGGCGAUGAUCGGGACGCGGCCCCUCUCGAGAAUGGACUCCACAGCGCGCACGGCGUCCCUGCAGAAGUCGGCGGUGGUGUAGUCGGCGUCGGGCGCCACCCCGUCGAUAAGGUGGUGUGGCACGCCCUGGCGCUCCGCGGCGGUGACCUUGUUGGUGACCACGUCGAGGCCGUCGUGCACCUGGAUCUUGUCGGAGUUGACGACCUCUCCGCCGAAGCGCAGCGCGAGGUCGAUGGCCAGCUUGGACUUGCCGGUGGCCGUGGCGCCCAUCACCAGCACCACCUUGGCCUUGUUGUCGCCUCCGCUCGCCGUGGCACCGUUAACUCCCGCCAUCGUGAGUGUACGACUGUCUUUCACAGUGUUACCACGUACAAGCUAGCUUGUAGUAGUGUAGCGGCUGUGUAUAUGGGUGAAUGAAAAGCGUGCAUAGGUCUCCGUUUUUAUAGUGCUCGGUUCCAAGAGCGCACGGCACGAAGUCAGCCACAGACUUGACUGGUGUUUUCCCGUCAGUUCGUAUGUAUGUCUUCGUUAGUACGCGACAAGGAAACCCUAACACACGCCUUGUGCCUGACAUGACCUGACCUGACCUGACCUGACCGGGGUUCAAUUAAAUUACUUUUCAAGUCUUUGACCGGUGAGGCGUUUAAGGGGGUGUUUGGUUUCUAGGGACUAAUGUUUAGUCCCUUCAUUUUAUUCCUUUUUAGUGUACAAAUUGCUAAAUAUAGAAAAUAAAAUAAAGUUUUAGUUUCUAUAUUUGGCAAUUUUGGAACUAAAAUUGAAUAAAAUCUAGGGACUAAACAUUAGUCCCUAGAAACCAAACACCCCCUAAUUGUCCUUGUAAGGUCGAAUUUGGAUGGCACUGCUCAGGGACAGCCGGACAGGAUGCUUGCUACUAGAUCUUUAUCCGAAAGUCUUCCGGGCCCGCCUAAUAGAACACUGCAUGCAAUUUGAAUAAGGGUUCGCUCAUUCAGAAACCAGCAUGCAGGGUACGCGUCCUCCAAUAAAACAAGCAGGUCGGCUACUUGAUGCAACUACGCGUGCGUGUGCACGCGUGUGUAUAGACGGUUACACACACGGGGUGCUUGAGUAGGAUAUGGCUCGUAGUGAUUCGACACAACACAUGCAUAAUUUAUACAGUGCAUAUGCUCACACGACACUAAUCUAGUGCCGUGCUUAGGCUGGCACCCUGACACGGUAGGCUGGUACAAACAAGACAUGAUUAAGUGGUUGGCACGAUUACACACAGCUUAGACCAAUUGAUGGUCCAUAGAUAUGAUUAUGAUGUGUGCAUGUGCUUGUGAUUAAUGGUGAUUUGUUAUGAUUUUAAACAUAAUAAAUUCAAUUCAUAAUGGUAUAAAUGUUCAAGUUUUAAAAUUAUAUAUAUAAUAUUAAAGAUCUUCUAUGAUUUUUGAACUCUCAAAGUGAAAUAGUGCUUGGACUAACACGUGCACUAUUAGGUGUUAGUGUUAUAUAGUGCCGCUAUAGUGUCGUGCAUGAGCCAAUGCUUAGGCACUAGCACCAACAUAGCAUGGUACAAUUAUUAAUAGUGUCUAAUAUUACUAGUGUCGGUGCCAUGGCGUACAACCUGUUUGGCUAUCUAUACACACAUGCACUAUACCACAACCUAGCUAUAACGACUUACUUACAGUCGGUAUAAACCGUUAUAGCAACGUACUAUCAGUCGCUAUAGAGUUAUACCGACUAACACUUUCUGACGCUGUAAGUGGCGUCGGCAUAAACGUAUAGCGACAGACAUGUUUAUACCGACGGACGGUUAGACGUUAAAAAGAUAUACCGACUAACAUAUUUAUCCCGACGGACAGUCUGUUAGAACUUAUACCGACACACUGUCUGAUGCGAUAUAUGUAUUUUUACCGACUAACAAUCAAACGCUACGGCUAUAUGAGCCUAAAAAAUAUAUUACUAGCAGUUUCCAAUUAUCAUCAACAUCAUAUAACAAUUGUACUGCAUUUAUACAUAGCAAUUAUAAUGCAUUCAUACAUAGCUCAUGUUGACAUAGCUCAUGUUUUCAUUCAUGACAAUAACAAUUGUACUGCAUUCGUACAUAAAGUUCACAAGUUUGCUUUUGUUGUAAUAAAGAUCACAAUAAGCAACAACAACACUAAGUUUGGCUUGUGAAAGCUCAGAGAUACUAGCUAGUACAACCACAUGUUGGUUUCACAAUUUAAAGUUCACUUGCAAAUUUCUCUUUUGAAGAAAAUACAAAACAAAAUAUCUAGCUACAUCCAUCAAAAGAACUUUUGAUCUUUCUUGUUGUAGCAUUCAUAGGCACCACCGUGAUCUGCUUGCUAUUGUCAUCAUGGAGUAAACAAGUGACUUACUACCUCUAGGACCUCCCUCCUGACAAAAUUAAAACCCAAAUCAUUAGUAGACUACUUAGAAAUCCAUUCCAAAAUAAACUAUAGAAUAGAUACCACCAUUGCUCCAUGAUUAAGCUAAAUAUACAAUAGUUGAAUGCAACAGAACUGCAUGAUCACAACACCUUGCUGCUGCUUAUUGAGCUACAUCAAUUUUAGAGAGCAGCUACUCAAGUGUCCUUGCUAGGGUCUGUGCUAUGUUGAUCAGUAGACACUUUCAUAAUUAUAGUUUGUUAAUGUUCCAUUAAUUAAAACUCAUUUUCCCCACCCUGCCCUUGCAAUUAAAUUCAUUAAUACUAGAGGAGGAAAAAUUGAACUCACUCGACCAAAAUUUAGUGACCACUAGGCUGUAAAAGCUUUCAUUUAGUUAAUAUCUACGUUGAAAUGUAUGUUGUCCAGCUAGUAGGAAAAAGAGAUGUAUUUAGCUGGUGCUAAAUCCAUAGGAUAUAUAUAUAUAUAUAUAUAUAUAUAUAUAUAUAUAUAUAUAUAUAUAUAAACAUGGAUGCUUAUCAAGACAAAACCAAAAGAAGAUAAUUUGUUAUCUGGACUGGCUCCAAAAAAGCAUUAUUCUAAUGAAUUAGAGUACCUAGUAAAGUAAGGAUGCUUUUGAUGUCAAUCAUAUAUAUAUACAUGUAGCACUCUGGGAUGAUUUUGAUGUCUUACUCACCUUUAGCUAUAUAAUCAUAGAAACCAUUAGUUAGAAAAUAUGCAAUCACCAUAUAUGAAAAAACAACAAAGAGAUAGCUUAUUACUCUCUUGUACGGCCAUGCGAUCGACAUCCGAUCAGCAUCACCCAUCUCCUCCAAAUAACCAUAUGGGCGAGGUAGAAGGGCAUCCCUUUUCAGCACAACAUUCACAACAACCGCACAAUAUUGCUUUCCUAGAGCAACUCCUCCUAGCACUGAGCUUGGAUUAGUUGAAAUAAUUGUUCCCUUAGCCACAGGAUGAUCUCUCAAUAUGGCAUAUAAGAUCACAUCCUUUCCAAUCUGAAGCAAACAAUAAAAUUAUAAGAAUAUAAUAAAUGUACAGAACCACUAGCAAAUGAGAAUUAGAAACUUUGAAGGAUGGAUGAAAAAAUCACAAUACUGUGUCAAUUCUUACAGUUUGCAUAGCUUGUCGAAUGUACUUUUACCACAGUACAAUGCUCUAACCAGUUUGCACUUGCAGGUUCUCUUCUCAGACAUCAAUGCUUAUGAGGUAACUGGCUUAUUUUUUCUUAUCAAAUUUUUUUGGCCUUGCCGUGAGCCCUACAUUUUCUGAUUCAAUCAACCUAGCUGACUUAGCUAUUGUGUUGUAGGUGGACCUUGGUACCGAUGAUGAGAAGCACUGCUUCUGCCGUGAGUCAGACUUGUUAGCUGUAGUUGAAUGAAUUUUACCAUGAAAAUUUCGGACUUACCUGGGAAUGCUCCAACAGCAUGAACUUAUCUUGCCCCCACUUUGUUGUAUGCCAUUUGAACGUUCGUGAAUUCAGCUUCUAGAUGAUUGUUAGUUACCGUUGAUUUUUGGUUGCCAUAAAUUGGAAUUAUGUUAAUGGCCAUUUUCUUUACAGAGGCCCUUGCUCACGUUUGGAAUAUGAAACUCCGCUGUGUGAACCGAACUUGAAAUGUUUACAUUGCCCAUCUGAUGUCUGUGCUUCUAAACAUUCUUUAGGCAACACCCUAAUUAUUUCUAUCAGGGUCUCUAGAUUUUGUUGUGCUGACCAUAGUCUCAUUCGAUUGGUUUGACAUGUAUGUGUGUUCUUUUUAAUGUUUCUCGUCCUCAUUGCUCAGCCAGAGUUUAAGUGCAUGUCAAAUACCAUGGAGUAUUCAUGUACGGAGUAGUAUAUAAAGAAGAGAAGAUGGUCAGAGUUUGUAACCUUUGACAUCUGAUCGGGAAUGAUGAGGAAAAAAACAGUUUGUUCAUUACUACUCAAAGAACUUGGUCAUUCAAAUGAUAUAUAUAAAAGGGAACGAAUUGAAAUUCAAAGUUGACCAAACCAAAAUCAUAGCAAGAGGAAAUUAAUAAAUGUAGUAGAGGAGAGCCGACAAUGGAGGUACGGGUGUUCUGGUUAGUUAAACCUGCCGCAUAAGUACCUUUCGAAUCUCCCCCUGCACGCCGGUGAGCACGUUGACCUCGCUGAGCUUAACGAGAACCUUGGCCAGCUGGUCGACCAUCCAGCGCGUAGAGCCGUCCUUGUAGAGGUUCUGAUCGACGGAGAACACGCCGCGGUGGAGCUGCAGGUUGUUGUAGACCUGUGGGCUGUGAUGUGCAAUACGGCGGACUGCGCGCGCGGCUGUGGAGGAGACGGCGGACUGCGCACGCGGCUGGGCUGGGGAUGGGACGGCGGACUGCACGCGGUUGGUGGCGGACCGCGCGCGCGGCUGGGGAGGACACGACGGACUGCGCGCGCGGCUGGGAACGGGACACGGCGGACUGCACACGCGGUUGGCGGAUCGGAGGAGACGACGGCGCGCGACUGGGGAGGAGGCGGCGCCGCGCGGUUGGCAGCCGGCCGGCUAGGGCGCUCGCCUGGUGACGGCGGUUGGCGGCGCGCGACGGCUGGAUGUUUUGGGCGGCGGUGGCUCCGGAAGGAAUAUAGGGUUUUGGGCUUUGCGCUCCAACAGGCCCGAUAAAUUGCACAUGUUUUUUAUGGCGACUGACAGCGCGAUGCUACAGGUAUGAAUUGCCGACUGACUACGCAACACUAUUCACAUAUAAAUAUAACGACUAACACUCAGUUGGAAUUUAGACAUAUGCCGACUCACCAUCUGUGGCCACGUAUACCGACUAACAAUUCGAUGCUAAUUCUCUAUUUAUAGCGACGGUCGUCAGACACUAAUUUAGUGUUGUGGUAUAGUGAUGUCACCCAAACCAACCUGUCCAAGCAUAUGCGCUCAACCACUCUUGCAUGUUAGCCCACCCCAACCGAUUUCCGGUGCGCCCUGCUCGGCCACAUCCCGCUUGCAUGUUAUACUAUGGGUUAACAGGUAUGGAUGAGAGCGGAACGUUCUAAUACCCAUUUACCUAUUGGGUGAAGCUUUUUGUCUAAUAAAAACCCCAUGUAUAGAAUAUUUAGUGUAUAUAUAUAUAUAUAUAUAUAUAUAUAUAUAUAUAUAUAUAUAUUUAUAUAUAUAUAUAUAUAUAUAUAUAUAUAUAUAUAUAUAUAUAUAUAUAUAUAUAUAUACGGCGCUGCUAAAAUGCACCUGGGUGCAUUCUCUAUAUUGAAUGCACCCAGGCGUUUCCGCGCGCCUCCCUGCCUCCCGCCGCCGCCGCGCGCAUCCCUGUCCCCGCGCCGCCGCCGUCUCCUCCUUCCUCCGAUCCUCUAGCUACCGCACCUUGAAUCGCCUCGAUGCUCCUCCCCUAAAUCCCACCGCCGUCGAGCGCCUCCAUGUCCUCGCGCCGCCGCGCGCCUCCCUGUCCCCGCGCCGCCGCGCGCCUCUCUAUCAGCGUGCCUCUUUGUCCCCCGCAUUAGGUGGGAUUGCAAGCCCGCAUUAGGUGUGAUUGCAACUGUUGUAUAAUUUUACCCAAAUAUCUGUUAAAAAAAUGUAAACAAAAUGAUUGCAACCGAUGGUGUGUUGUAAUUGCAACUGCUGGUGUAGUGUGGAUGCAACUGCUGAGUUGCUCUGAUGUGAUUGCAAGUACUGAAUAACUCUGAGAAAUUUUGUUAAAAAUAUGAUUGCAACUGCUGGUCUGGUGUAAUUGCAACUGCUGGUCUGGUAUGAUUGCAACUUCUAUAUAACUAUGUCCAAAAAUCUGUUAAACAAACAAGAUUGCAACUGCUGGUCUGGUGUAAUUGCAACUGUGGGUCUGGUGUGAUUGCAACUUCUAUAUAACUAUGUCCAAAAAUAUGUUAAACAAACAAUGAUUGCAACUGCUGUCUGGUGUAAUUGCAACGUCUGGUCUGGUGUGAUUGCAACUUCUAUAUAACUAUGUCCAAAAAUCUGUUAAACAAACAAUGAUUGCAACUGCUGUCUGGUGUAAUUGCAACUGCUGGUCUGGUGUGAUUGCAACUCCUAUAUAACUAUGUCCAAAAAUCUGUUAAAACAAAACAAUGAUUGCAACUGCUGUCUGGUGUAAUUGCAACUGCAAGUCUGGUGUGAUUGCAACUUAUGUGAAGAGGUUGAGCCGUUCGCGGAGGAGCCGUUCACGGAGAAAGAGGGGCGGGGGCGGGAAAGUGAAAAGGUUCUGUCCGGAGCGUGAGGGAGGGACGAAGACGGCCUGGGUGGGACGGUUGGCUCGGACCUGGCACGUAGGUUCGGCCUGGGUGCAUUCUCUAUAUUGAAUGCACCCAGGUGUAAUAUAUAAGUACAGUAUAUAUAUAUAUAUAUAUAUAUAUAUAUAUAUAUAUAUAUAUAUAUAUAUAUAUUCUAAUGAAGUAAAUACUCAUAUAAUAUCAGAUCGAAUGUACCCAUUGCUAUUUCAAAUCACCCUACUUGCACGUUCCAGGGGAACUUGGAUGGUUGUCACUUGUCACCGAGUGAACACUGCGAAUUCGCUGCAGUCUAUGGAUACAGAACGACUCUGGAACGCAUGUGAAAAUUCUGUUUCCAUAUAUCGUGAAUACAAGACGGCAAAUUAUCUAACGCGGUAAAUUCGACAAGUCUAAAUUCACAUGCAUGUCUACUCUGUUUUAACAAUUGUGACAAGUCUACAUUUUUUGCCGUCCUUCUCGUGGGCCAUGGCCGUGUUGUUGCAGUAUAUGUGGACACUGGACAGGCAUAGGAUGGAUGUCCACACCUCAAAAGAAAUUAGGGGCCUCUUUGGUUCGUGGUUAAUUGUGUCGCACUUUGCCUAAGGUUAGUCGUUCGAAUUGAAGAACUAAUCUUAGGUAAAAAGUUAGGCAAAAUAUGACAAGUUAGGCAGCGAUUCAAACAUGCUCUAGAUGUUGCUAAUAAGGUCACUUCAUUGGAAGGAUCGUGGAACUGGAAGGUUACCCCAGCUCAUUUAUGACUUCUUUAGGAGUAUAAGGAAUUGAGGGUGUACGUGUUUGGCAAUAAGGGGAUUGGAGGGGAUUAAGAACUUGAUUGGAAGCCAGGGAACCGAAUAUAAAGGGGAUUCUAGACCCUCCAAUUCCUUAUAUUAUCUCUGCUCCUAAAUACACCUUCCGUCCACAAAUGUUUCUCUUUGGCUAGAUUAGAUUUAUAGAAUAUCUUUGGCUAGAUUAGAUUUAUAGAAUAUAUUAGUAACGGUUGUAUCUUCAAAUAAUUAUACUACAAAAAUAGAUUCAAAGAUCUAUCUAAUUACACUAAAUAUAAAUGUUUUCUUAUAUAAAUAUGGUCAAAGUUAAAAAUAGUUGAUUUCUCGAAAAGUGAGAACGAGCAACAUUUGUGGACAGAGGGAGUAUGUCUUAAGGGCUAGUUUGGGAGAAGGGAAUUAGAGGGAUUGAUGGAGCUAAAAUAUCAUUCCUAUUCAAAAUUGAAUAGGAAGGAGAUUUUAGCCCCCUCAAUCCUCUUGCUCGCAAACUAGCCCUAAGAGUUCGUUUGGUGACAAGGGAUUUGAAGAUGAUCGAAAGAGAUUGAGUGAUAAGUUAGUUCAUUUCUCCCUUAAUUCCAUCCAAUCUCUCCUCAAUUCCUUUAUCACCAAAGGGGCCCUAAGGCUAUGUUCCUUUCAUCCAUAAACCAUUAGGAGUAAAUGAGAUUGAAAGGGAUUGAGAAUGAUUUUGAUUUGUAGGAAAUUUGAUCACCCUCGAUCCCCAUAGAUUUACACAAAACGAAUAGCAUCUAAAUAGGCUUAUGUCCCCUUACUAUUCAAAUUGAAUAGUAAGGAAACAUACCCUACAAUAAAACCACAUCUCUAUAUAGCUUUUUCGCUUGCAGCAUACAAGCAGCAAGUGUACCUGCCGUAGUACCGUCUGUGUGACCAGUGCCAGAUUGUUGCAUCCGAUCAAUGGAGGGAUAAUUAUAUUAACAUCUGUAUUACAGCUAGGCUCAAACACUGCUACAGAAAUCAUUUCUAACAACCAUCAAAAUCAAUUUUGUAGAGACGUCUUUUGCAACAGACUUUUAUCUCAAAUGCCUCUAGAAAUACAAGCAUUUCAAGGGGUGGACUAACCACCUAGCACCUAUAAAUCAUUUUUCUAUAAUUAAAAGUGACAGUAAAAAAAGCCCACCACAAGUCCACUAGCAAAAAAAAUAUCAUUUGUCAUCGAGGAUCAAUAUGUAGCAAGUCCACAAGCCUCACGUCAUAUAGGGUCCUUUUGAUUUGGACUUCUAAGAGCAACUCCAACUGCUUAUAUAAAAAUACUAUCUAAAUAUAGAGUUUAGAGAUGUCUCUUUAAAAUAGACAAGUAUCUAUAAAGGAUAGUGUCGGGUACCCAGGAACGGGGUACCCAAGGCAAGGCCCACAAGCCUCUCUCUGGCCUAUUUACCAAGUCCCCACCGAGUGUCGGGUACCAUAAUUAGGAGUACCCUGAUCACAACCUUAAAGUAUCUAGACGCUUGAGUAAGAAGAGGUCACAAGCAAACAUGCUCCCAACCUUACCAAGGCACGAGGAACCUAUGUCACGAAUUGUCCGAGGCUAACUCCGGCUGGGAGACGUAGUCAUGGCUCGCCUGAGGCCAAACUCGGGCGGGAUACACAAUCAUGGCUUGCCCGAGGCCAACCUCGGGCAGGAGACACAGUCUUGGCUCGCCCGAGGCCAACCCCGGACGAGCAGCGCUGGUCCGAUUCACGCAAGGGUAUCUUGGGAAAUGCUAUAGAAGGUGCCCAACUCCGCCGACCAACUCGGCAAGGCGGAUUGGUCGACCAACUCUCCGACGACCAACUCACUGUCGAGAAAUCGAGCGAGUCUGCAAGGUGGGGCGAAUGACCAAGCACCCACCGAGCGAGUCUGCGAGGCAGGGCGAACGACCGAUUCUCCACCGAGCUGAUCCACGAAGAAGGAACCUAGGCCGACGCUCUCGGCCCAUGACAGCCGCGACAAGACACAACGUCACCAAACCACGACCAGGUCGUACCUACAAGUACCAAAAGGUGUCCGACAGACACGAUAGAACACCUCCGCGUGCGCCCACGGAUAAGCCCUCGCUGACUCGCGGGGCCGGUCAACUCCAGUCACAGGGGCCUCAGCACCGGAGUCUCUACAGUGGCCCAUAUAUACACCGGAAAGGACAAGAGAAUACACCAUACCAGGCGUAUACCUACGCGUGCUUGAUAGUGACACAAGUGGUAUGACGAAAGACGAAGUUGUACCGGACACGACCUUGAACCUUACCAUAAGCGCACUUUGCGGGACCCACCAGGUAUCACAACGCUGACACCAAGCAAGCUACAGGGACUCGUAUACCGAAAGGACAAAAUAGAAUGCCAUACUAGGGGUACGGUAGCACACGACCCUACGAACGACGUUAGGAGACUACGCCACCCGUAGGCGGCAAGCCGAGCUCCCCCUAUAGAAUACAAGUUCCCACUAUAAAGUCCACCCUUGAGCUAUAAAAGGGACUAGGAAACUUUCAAUUUACACACAAGCACACUAGCUGUAACACGUCUCAAAGCAAUACUACGAUCAACACUACAUUGGACUAGGGCACAAGCCUAGACGAGUAUAACCCACUGUCUCAAGUACAUUAUUCGACAUGCUUCAAGGAAAAAAUUGACUAAAGAACAAAUUGCUGAAGUUCAACAUUAUGCUCGAGACCUAAGAUAUCCUCGAGGUUCUCUAGUAUAUGGGGGCAGCGACGAAGAUGAUUAUUUGUACUGCCUCCGAGACAAUAAGGAGAUUGAUGUGUGUCGUGAAAUGAUGGAUAACAUGGGCUAUCCGAAGCUCGAGCUAGGGCUAUCUGCUAUGUCAAAUAAUGUACUCAAGAUCUUCAAACGGUGAUGCUUUGGCUUUGCAGAUUGCCUAGCAUAUAAUAAUUUAAAGGUUUGCAUACACUUUUCUCUUCUACUUUUUAUGAUUAGUCAGAUAUUUUUCUAUGUUCUUUACUAUUUUCUCUUUGCUGCUGCCAGGGACUUAUUUUGAGUAAGGCUUUAAAAGCAUAGAAGGAUGCUGAGGACGAAAGUACUCAGAUAGCCUUCGACAAUCUACACUCAGAAGUUAUAGACCUACUGCAUCAUGUUGUUGAGAAAGAUAAAAUUUUGCUUUCUUUAAUCGAUAAGUUGAAGGAGAUCUACGCUGAAUUGGCUAUAUUUUCCGAAGGGAAUUCAAGAAUUUCAAAGCUAGAAGAGAAGAAAGCUGACACGAAGCGUAUUGCCGAUCUAGAAUCUGCAUUAUCAGCCCAAGUGGAUCUAAACAAAUCUGAAGUGCUAAAAUUAGAAGAAAAACCGAUGAAAUGAGCGAAAAUUUCAAAGUUGAAAAAGAAAAACAUGAGAUUGUCAAAACUGAGUGCAAAUGAGUUCAAAGGAAUGUCGACGAACUUCGGAACUCUAAAGAAAAGUGUUAUUUUGUUGUCAUCCAUUGCUGUGAAAAACUAAAGGGCAUAUUCACUAAUAUUGGAACUUUCUCAAGUGAUGAAAACUUUGUGCGUGGUGAUGCUGAAGGGGCCAUAAAAUGGAUAGAAGGCGAAAUUGAGGCCUUUGACGAAGUUCUAACUGGCCGAGGAGAUUUUUGCGCCUGCGUGGGAGUUCGAGGAGCAGUUUCUUUGCUUCAAAAGGUUGGUUGCGAUCAUGCUAAGGUUGUAAUUCAACCAGACUUCAUAGUUUCAAUCGAUGAUGUGAAAGAAUUAUCUGCCGAAGCCAUUGCCUUGGGAGGAAAGUUCUAUUCUGAAGUUUGGCUCAAUGAUGGAAGAGAGAUAGCGGACGAAUCUAUCAAACAAAGUGAAGAACUAGUCAUUUCGGUUACAGGGUUCUUGCUAUUGAGGUUUUAGUUUACUUUUUUAUAAUCAAUUUACUCCUUUGACUUUUUAGACUCAUCGGGCUUUAGAAGAGGCCAGGAAAGCCGAAGAAGCUGCACAAUUAGAAAGAUGCAUAGGUACACGUUACUUGUUGUUGGAUGUUGACUUUGUAAUUAGCUUAUUCGUAUCAUAUAACAUAAGAAAAUGAUUGCUUUUGCCGCGGAACUUUCUCCACUACCAGAGCCAUACAAUGGCGAAAAUGAUCCAAUGCUGAAAGAAAUCCUUGCUGAAUUCAAGGUGGGGCAUGAAGCGAUAGACAAAGCUGUUGAAACAGUACUAAACGAAGCUGUGGAGAAAGUUCUGAAGGAGGACUGAGAUUAUUUGUUGAAAACUUGUUCUUGACUUUGAUCUUGAGAAGUUUGUAAAAACAUUUGAAUAUGUGCUUGCUCUGUAUAAAAACAAUUAUGUGACUUGUAUUCUUUAUAGUUAGAGUAUGUACAUUAUUUCUUUAUGGAGUGUGAAAUAAGUAUAUGUACCGUUUUGAGCCGAAGGCGAAAAAACACAUUCCCUUCUUUUCACGCUUCGUAAAGAAAAAACUUCUUCAACCGAAGGUCUUGUAAUAUCUUGGGAAUGCGGCUGCUGAAACCGAAGCAUUAUCCCCUUCUUUUCCCUCUGCUUCCAUUACAUAAUUUCACAAAAAUCAUGUACGAAGCCAAAAAGGUUUGAUCUCUUUCGUUCUUUAAUAAGGUGCUUCAGAAUUCUUUUUCCUCCGCACAUGAAGGGAGCAAUUCCCCUUCUUUUUCAUCUGCACUUGAUGCAAGAUAAUAUGAUGACUGAUGGUAUGAUGCAUAAUGAUGUGAUGAUAUGAUGCAAAAAUGCUCGGUGUAAUAUGGUGAUAAAAAUAGAGGAAAAACAUUGCAAUAAGACUCUGCAUUCCCUUGGGAAGGAUUUUGGAGUCUUUUACAACUUUACUAGGUGUUUUAUUUGAGCUUUGCAUCCCCUUAGGAAUGACUUUGGAGCUUUUUCACCUUUACUAGGUAGUAUUUUGAGCUCUGCAUCCCCCUAGGAAUGAUUUUGGAGCUUAUUCACCUUUAAUAGGUGGUAUUUUGAGCUCUGCAUCCCCGUAGGAAUGACUUUGGAGCUUCUUUACCUUUACUAGGUGGUAUUUUGAGCUCUGCAUCCCCGCAGCAACGACUUUAGGGCUUCUUCGGCACUUUUGUUACACUCGAUGGUGUAACCUUAGCUUUAUUACAAGAUGUCGAAGGAUAUACCUUCUUAAAGUAUCUUCAGGCAAACGUAAAGGAAAGGAAACUAAAAUUACAAUAGAGUUUUGUAGAUAGCUUCAGAUACUUGAUCCAGCCCCUUAGGCACUUUAGUAGAUAUGCUUGGAUUCUAGUACAGUAUUGUUGUCUAUUCGAGCUUGAGACUGCUCCCUUGUAUCAUGUUGUGGUUGAUCCUGAAAUUGCCUAGGAUGCUGCUGGUUGUAUGACGAAGUUGGUGUUGAUGUGGGUGGUUGAGACAGGACCCAUCUGGCCGGAGAAUGGCUUGCCGAAGUAACUGAAGCUGGAGGCUGCUGGAUUGGCUGUUGGUUAUGGACAUACUCUAGGAUGUAUGGAGAAUAAUAUGAAGCAAUAUGGAGGACCUGCUUCGGCUGAUUCUGUCUUGCCUCAGCUUCGGCAAUUUCCUUCUUCUUUUGAAUUAUGACUUGGUAGGUUCUUGUUCUAUGCCCCUUAUCUUCUCCACAGAAUAAACAAAAUAGUCUUCUCGGCUGAGAGUUGUAUCUCCCCCUAAAGCUUCUCCCUCCCCUUCCACCUCUUAGAGAUGGUGGUAUAAAGGAACUCUACUGAGUCCCUGUUGAUUAGGAGUGAUUUUGUUGUCCUGGAGUAUGGCUUCUUUUGUGUUCACUUAGGCUUGGGUUGUGAAUUGUUCUGACAUGCCAUGGAUUAAACCUUCUGUUGAAGCCCUUUGUCAUCUCAGAGUAUCUGAAGGCUUCUUCUCUCCUUUGGCGAAAAUCAUUGUCAGCCUUGAUGUAUUCAUCCACUUUUUGGAGGAGCUUCUCUAGAGUCUGAAGAGAUUUGCUAGCAAAAUACUGUGCCGCUAGUCCCGACCGAAGCCCCUUGAUCAUGGCUUCAAUGACAAUUUCAUUUGGUACUGUUGGUGCUUGGGCUCAGAGCCGUAAAAACCUUCGGAUGUAAGCCUGUAGAUACUCCUCAUGAUCUUGUGUGUAUUGGAAUAGAGCCUGAGCUGUCACUGGCUUCAUCUGAAAAACUUGGAAACUUGUGAUCAACAUAUCUUUCAAUUUCUGCCAAGAUAUUAUUGUUCCUGGCCGAAGGGAGGAGUACCAAGUCUGAGCAACACUCCUGACUGCCAUGACAAAGGACUUGGCCAUGACGGCUGUAUUGCUUCCAUAGGAUGAUAUCAUCGCUUCGUAACUCAUAAGGAACUGCUUCGGGUCAGGGUGACUGUGUACAUGGGCAACUGAGGUGGCUUGUACGAAGGUGAUCAUGGUAUUGCCUGCAGCUCUGUAGCUAAAUGAAAAGCAUCAUCAAAAGCAAUAUUGUCGUGGUUAAAAGUUUCGUACCAUGUCUUCGUGGUUGGGGCCUUCCUGCCGAAGAUCUCUAUGGUGCUGCUGAUAUUCUUAGUGCUCAGUAUCAUGCGUGAUGUGCUGCAUCUCUUCAGCUACUUCGUUAAUCUUCUUUUGAAACUCAGACAGAUGAAGCAUUUUUUUCUCUUCUUUUCUCCACUUGUCGGUGUAUGGCUUCAUGGUUGCUGAUUUCUUGAUCUAGCUCCUCAUCUUGUAGAGUUGAGAUGGCAGCCUUUCGUUUUUGGCUUCGGGCUUCUCUUAAGAGAAUUCCAUCUUGAUUGGUGUCCAGAGGAGCAAGGACAACCUCGGGCACCGUUGUCUUCUUCGGUGGCAUGAUGAAGAUGGUCGUAAGUGAGUUCACCGGAGGUGGGCGCCAAUGUUGGUCAAUCGUUCUCAAUUGAUAUACAAGUUUGAAAACAAGGCAACACAAGGUUAGAAAGAUAAUUAACCUUCGUCUUGAAAUAGUUAUCCCUUUUGGAUAACCCUUUUGAAGGCGAAGGUUAUAGCUUAAUUAAAUGAAUCACUCGAAAGUAUAAUGGUGAAUACACGGGAGAUAAAAAGAAGUUAAACAUGAUAACACAUCUCAAGUGUUUUUACCCUUUUAUGUCCACUACCAUACAUAACAUAUUUACAAUCGUACCUUCGGCUUCUUGGUGUAAGCUAAAGAGAAGGUGUUUCAGAGAAGGAAUUACACAGCACAAUUAUCAGCCUCCAAAAAAGGUACUUUAUGCAGGGCACUGUUCAUCUAAUUAUAGGGGAACGUAAAACUUCAUAUGGAAUUACAAAUAUGUCUGUAAGACCAGUAUGUAUGGUUUACAAAUGGUGUGAGGGCAAUAUUGUCUUCUACCUUUAGUGUUUUGGAUGACACCUUCUCCCGCCUUCGUUGAUCUUUUAUCUUCAUCUCCUUGUAUUGUUAUGACAAAGCUAUCAUCUUCUUCUUUCUCCCCACCCUGCACCGAAGGUGUUUUGCCGCUAAAGCUCCUACGACACUUAUUGACACGUAGACAACCAAUAGUAAAAUGUGUUUUUGAGGACAUUCGAAAGAUGAAGGCCCCCAAUACGUGUUAAAAUAGCAUUGACCGAGUUAGGAUCAGACAAAGAGUGUCCAACAUCUUAGGGCUCAAAAUAAGCAACAAAAGUUGAGUGAGCAAAAUGAGACAUCUGCUGAUACCUAGAGUGAGUGACUCGCAUAUCAAUCUCACCAAUCAUUUGUUGAGGAGGGUGAUAGUGCUAAACAUACAACGGAGCCAUCCUCGAAGAUGUGGCCUCCCCCCUCAAAAGCACCUCAAUUCCUCCAGUCUCAGCAGGAGCUAGCUCGAGCAGACCCCAAGUAGUGGAAGUAGUGGGAUCGGGUCCAUAAGCCAAAGUAGUGGAAGUAGGCUCAACUGGGGCAGCCAGUAAAGUCGGCUUGGGAUCACCCCAAUCGGCGUCAUCAUGCUCCUCCUCCACAAAGAUGGUAUGUCCCAUCUAAUCUAGACCUACAGGCUUAAAGAUAGGGGAUGGACAAGGUGCAAUCUCAACAAAUGUUACCUAACAAGUCUCCAUAAUGCGGUUAGCCUCUCGGCUAACAACACGAUAAGCACGAGAAUGUAAUGCAUAACCUAGGAAAACCCCAUAAGAAGACUGAGACUCAAACUUGUCCAAAUUGCCAUGUUUCAGCACAAAGCAUAUGUAGCCAAACACCCUGAAAUGACUAACCUUGGGUGUCCGUCUAAAUCGCAACUCAUAAGAAGUCUUGUUCAAGAAAGCUCAAAGAAAGAUGUGGUUUGACACAUGGCAAGCAAUGUUCAUCGCUUUAGCCCAAAAAUGCCUGGAGUCAUAUGCUCAUCGAGCAUCGUCCUGGACAUCUCAAAAAGGGUCUGAUUUUUGCGCUCAACAAUGCCAUUCUGUUGAGGCACAUACGGAGAGGAAAAUUGAUGCUCAAGUCCCAAAGAAGCACAAAAGAUCUCAAAAUGAGUAUUUUUGAAUUCUAUGCCAUUGUCACUGCGUAUAUCUCUCAUGACAUUCUUGGCAAACUCAUUUUGCAACCUAAGAAUCAAAUCUCAAGCAUGAGUGAAAACAUCAUGCUUCACCUUCAUGAAGAACACCCAAGAAUUGCGAGAAAAAUCGUCAACGACCACAAGCACAUACCACAUCCCCCCCGAAAGAGGAAAUCCAAGUUGGACCAAUAGUGUCCAUAUGAAGCUGUCGGAGAGGAAAAUCUCCGACCGGGUGGUGGAACGCACCCGCCCUAGAUCCUAAGAUGAGGAGGGGCCUAAGCGUUUUGCCUGUCUAUUGGAAGGUGGAAGAACACACGAGGACACGAGGAUUUAGAGUGGUUCAGGCCACCAGAGCGUAAUACCCUACUCCAUUGUGUGUUGUAUUGAGUCUGUGAACUUGAGAGCUUGUAUGAACUUAUGAGUCUGAGAGUCUGAGUGAACCUGCCUUGUAACGUCGUGUGCCCUCCCUUUUAUAGCUCAAAGGGGGCACGUACAAGGAUGUUGAGCCCCGACAUGUGGGCCUAGGAGCAAAACGGAGGGAAUACAUUAUAGAAGUAACUAAUGCGAGUAUGCUUGAGGAAUCUCCUGGCGCCAUGAUGUUCGGAGUCCACGCAGUACUGAUACCCGGGCGGCUGCUUCCUUGGUGACGUGCGAGUAAUCACGAGCGUAGCGCAUGUGGCAGUAUGGGCGUAUCGCCUGCCAACAGAAUGGAUAGGCACACCGCUUGCCGAAUGGACUAGUCGCUGCCUGCCAGCGGAAUGGACAUGUCUCAUUAAAUGCGGAGGCGGCACCUUGCCUGCCAGUGGAAUGGACAGGGCUCAAUAAAUGUCGAGGCGGCACGCCGCCUGCCAGUGGAAUGGACAGGUGGCACGCCUUAUCUGCAACAAAUGCAGAGGUCGCGCAGCCUAGAGGCCUUACGUCAGGCUCUGCCCGUUGGCUUACGUCACGGGCACCAUGCCACGUGGCAGCAUCGGGGCUUCGCCUGAGCGGGGAGCAGAAGCGUAUACAGUAAGGUCUGGACACGUGUCGACUCUGGACCCCCGCCUAGCCUUGAUUAAGGCCUGGGUAUUCUCUGUCCCAGAAUCCCGGGACCCUGCUGUGAGUGGCCCGGACCCCACACAGAGGGGUCCGGAACCCAUCCUAGGGGUCCGGUUUGUGCCCGUGGAGAUCCUGGACCUUACCUGGAGGUCUGGUCUAUAUAUACAGGGGUCCGACACUUUCCCAUGGGGGUCCAGACUCAUUGUUGAUACCUUGGAGUAUAUCAUCUUCUCUGGCCACGUGGCACCCCUGGAGCCGUCCACGUGGUGGGGUCGGGUGCUGUUGCUGGCCUAGAGUAGUUGCCUGAGGCUGGGGCGAGCCAUGGUCUAGUCCCACGCACAACUCCUUCACCACGCGACUAAACAUAGCCGCGUGGGUACUGCGUCUUCAUACGGUAGUAAGGGGUACCCCUGUUUUAGGGUACUGACAGUGGCCCCAGGGCCCACCUCAGGGGAGGAUGCGAGCCUGCAGGUGGGGCCAAUAGCCUGAUUGGUGAUUGGCACGCCGCUUUCGUGUGUCUGCUGACGUACUCGUCGUCAACCCGCCUCCGGUCACGCCAACUGCCAUAUUUGUUUCCACGGCUGACUGACCCGCAGCCCCCACGCCUGGUGGUUUUGUCGGGCCAUGCGCGGGACGCCUCGAUACCGCUGCGAUGGUUUAAAAAAUUCCCUUCUGUCUUCUGCCGCGACCCCGAGGAAGUGCACUACCGGCGCGUGCAGCGGUUCACUUUUUCUGCACACGCGAACUGUCAUUCAAGUAGUAUGACUUGUGGGCCUGGGUCCCCGUGUCAUAGACUGGGCUGUUGUUUCUCGCGGUGGAGAUGAAGAGGCGCGCUACCGCGGGCGGCGGUUCGCUCUUCGAGCGCGCGCAGCGGUUCGCUUUUUCCGCACCCGAAGUUCAGCGCACAAUCCGUAUGACUUGUGGACUCGGGCCCCCGUGUCAUAGACUGGGUCGCCUAGGCGUCAGGUGUGCGUCGGUUGGGAUUUCCUGUAGCGUCUCGGGGCGCGAGCGGGAGAGUUUGCCUUGAAGAGGGAUUCACCCUGCGUGCAGCAGUUACGCUUUAGCAUUCUCUCCCAAUCGCUGCGCCCUUUCGCCUUCGAGCUCUCUGCGCCCCUUUGCACUCGCGCUCUUCUGCUUUGCGCCACCGUAGUCGCCAUGGCUUCACUAGUUCAUCCCGAGCAUUUCCAGUCUGAGGGGGCGCUCAACCUAGUGCGCCACCUGCUCGGAUGGAGCGCGCCGGCGCCACUCCCCUCGGUGAUCUCACCGCCGGGGAGUUCGUGCUGUUCGUCUCCUACCUCUCCUGCCGGGGAGUUCGUGCCGAUCUCAUCUUUCUUCUUGCUGCUGUUGGAGGAGCUCGAGCUCCAGCUUCAGCACCUCAUGCCCCACUCCAUCCUUCAUGCGGCCAUCUUUGUCCACCUCUGCGAGAUGUUCGUGGGGGUGGCCCCCUGCACCUCCUUCUUCCGCCAUUUCUUCGUGUUUGUGAAGUCUGGGAAGGCUAAGGACCACCACGACGCCUACUACUUCCAGACAAGGUCACAUUCAGCUGUGGCCUACAUCCCCACCCUUGGUGGCGCAAGGUGGGAAAACUUGCGCGGUGACUGGGUGAUCGCCAGUGCCGAGGCCAACGACUGCCUCAUCCUACCGAGCGACGGGCCAGCACUCGACUGGAAGCAAUGGAGGGCCAAGCCAUCUCUGGUGCCGGAGUUCCUGCCCAUGCUGGACAGAAUCAAGACCUUGGCAACCGGUGGUCUGACCUCCAUACAUGUGGUCGGCGACUUCUUGAAGCCCCGGAUCGCGCCGCUGCAGAGGAGGGCGCGCCUGCGUUGCUGGUUCACCGGCUCGAACGACAUCGACCGAAUCCAGCGUGGGCCAGGUACCGACCUGUCCUGGGAGGAGCUGUAACUCCUGGUGAAGGGGAUUACUGGUGAGUCCUUUGUCCCUGAAUCCCUAAUCCUCCCCCAGGGCAUCCAUGCGCUCUGCGACGACUCAGGGUUGAGGACGACGAUCUUGGCCAUGCUGCCGACCUUUGACGAGAGCGGCGUGGCGGUUCGCCAGACCGGCGGUCGGGACCCCCACCGCAGGAUCCAGAUCUCCGAUGCGCCUGCUGGAGGCCCCCAGUCCACCGGCGUGGCUCCCAGCGCCCCCGCCGCGGCCCCCGCCCCUUGGACAAGAGCAAAGGGGCUGCAGGCAGUUCCUCCGCCCCAGGUGGUACCGGGGGGUCGGAGGAAGAGAGGCGACGCCGACUGCGCCACGCCAACGGGUCAUUUAUCUCGGACCCCCAGAAGCGUUAGAGGACUGCUGGUGGGGCCGAGGAGGCCGGCUCCCAGGCCUAGGGCGCAGAGGCACGUCAGUCCUCUGCCGCCACCACCAUCGGGUCCGUCGCCACCACAACCACCACCACCGUCGGGUCCGCCGCCGCGACCACCACCUGGGGGUAAUCUCCCCCAGGGGCACCAGAAGCAGCAGCAACAACAGCAGCAGCAACAGCAGCAGCAACAGCAGCGGUCGCCCCGCUUCCAGGGUCGUUGGAAAGUCCAGGGUCCCAAGUGAGUGUAACCCCUUUUUUCAUUAGUCUAUUUAUCAUGUUGAUGGGUCUUAACCCAUCCUUUACUUGUCAGGGCUUCCUCCCCCUCUGCUCCCAAGGACGCGCCUCCUCCACCAGAUACCAUGCUCGGAGGGUCUGGCUCUCAGCAGCAGGUGUCUGCUGGGAGUGGCAUCGGCGGUCCACCCCCGGCUGCUGCAACUGCGCCGAUGGCUACCGCAGCCUCAACGACGGUGAUGUCGUCGAGUACACCGUCGGCAGCGGCGGAGGAGGUCCCAACUGCGCCCGCCCCGGCCAUCGAGGGUGAAGCAGGGGGUGUGUCCAGUUCCAUUCUGCCGCCCACUCUAGAGGAGCCGGAGGUGGUUUUUGGGAGGCGGCUCCAGUCCGGCGCCGAGCCAGAAGCAGCGCUAGUUCCCCUCCCUCGGGUGCUGUCUCGUGCCCAUCGGGCUCUUCAUGAGACUGAAGCGGCGAUCCUGCGGGAGUGGGAGGCGCUUGAGGCUGAGCACCAGCGCCUCAGCGACUGGCGCACGCAGCUAGAGGAGCGCACCAAGGCGGCGUCCCGCCAGUUCGCCUCUGAGCAGUCCGAGCUCGAGCGGGACCGCAAGGAUUACAAAAAGGACUUCUAGAAGGUGUACGCUCGGUUGUUGGAGGCGAGCCGGAAGGAGAAGAGGUUGGCCAAGAGGGAGGAAGCCUUGAACCAGAGGGAGGAGGUCGUCACAGAGCUCUAGGCCAAGCUGAGUGCCAUGAACGAAAUCCUAGAAGAGCAGCGGAUCCAGCAGACCGCGGCUGUGGAGAAGAUCCAAAAAUGGGAGAGAAAGCUAGAUGACAAGGCCAGCAACAUUGCCCUGGCCGAGGAGAACCUCAAGGAGAAGGAUGCGUGCCUGGAUAGGCGGGAGGCGGAUCUCGCCUAGCGAGAGAAGGAUCUCGCCUUCAGGGAGGAGAUGUUUGAAAUGCGGGAUAAGUUGCUGGCCAAGCAGGAGCUCGAGGCGGAGAAGGAGAAAAAACUAGAAGAGCGGAUCCGGCAGUUCCAAGCGGCGCAGGCUGCACCGGGCCCCCAGGCGGUGGAGGCGACGAAGAAAGCACUUGAAGAUCUCCGGGCGAAGCAUCGCGCCGGGGUCCAGCGCAUCGCUGCAUGGGCCAGCGAGGCGAGCACGGCGCUAGUGCUGCUAGGAAUGAGUCCUAUCCCGGUGUCGGAGCUGCCGACAUCUAUCUCCGACGCGCUCCCGGUGCUGGACUCCGCCGCCGACCGCCUCCGACGCCUGGACUAGAUUCUCGGUGCCCGCCUGGAGGCAUAGGGCAGCAGGCUCUGCCGGGCGGUGGUGGAUUACGUGUUGACGUGCUUUCGGAGCCACGACCCGGCCAUGUCGUUGGCACCGGUGCUCGACGGUCCGGUGGCCGCCACAGAAGACGUCGCCCAAGAGAGCGUCCAAGACGCCGAGGAGACGGUGGCCGCGCGCUUCCAGUGCGACCCUGCCGAUGCCGAGUAGUUCAUACCUGCAUAAAUGAGGCUAGGGCUCUGCUUGAAAGCGGAUGUAAUAUCUUUUGGUUUUGUACAAUACUCUUGAGAACUAUUAAUUAAACAGCACUUAUCUGUAUGCUAUUUGUCCUCGCUGUGUGUAACGUUACCAACUUCUCCCUGGUACCUGCCCCCCUGGGAUGUAGGCUCGAUGUGUCGAGGCUGGAUACCAGUAUACUUAAGGGAAAAUUAGUUGGUGACAUGGCCCCCAGGACGUAGUCUGGACUGGGACCUGGACCUGUACACAGCUUCGGCUAGGAAGUGUUAGUAGCACACCCAUAGGACCCAUCAUCUGGUAUCUGCCAUCCUUUGAUUCAUGCAAUAGGACCUGCAGGAUUUAGUCUGGGAAGCCAAGCCGUAUGCCCGGACUCCCUGAAUCACAGUUCUAAAUACUAGGACACCCGUCCCAGAGCGGUGGAGCGUGCAGGCUUAGGGUACGGGACCAUGUUAAGCGGCUACACAGCUCCGGACCACCCCAGGAGACGUGUGUCUAUUCUGUAGAACCGGACCCUAGGUUGACGGACCCACAUGACUAUAGUUCCAGAUACUAGGGUGCCUGACCUAGAGCGGUGGAGCGUGCAGGCUAAGGGUACGGAACCAAGCUAAGCGGCUACACAGCUCCGGACCACCCCAGGGAGCGAGCGCCCAUUCUCUAGAACUGGUCCCUAGGCUGCCGAACCCCCUGCCUUUGUAGAGGGGUCCUAAACUGCAAACCUGGCUACUCUAUUCGAAUGUCAUCAUACCAGCAAGGGUGGGAAACUGUAUGGGUGGGUUAGAUAAAAAGUAACGGUUGUGAACUGAAGUAGAAUAAAAUCAUCACAGAAGCACAUCUGGGGGGUAAAUCCUUUCUUUAUAACCUGAUAUACAUAGGUGCAGACCACCAGACCGGACUUAUGAGGGUGGACCUCACCUAACUAACAUACACAUAUGCACAACCCAGUUACAAAAAUAAGAAACCUUAACCCCCUUAGACUUGCUCCUAUGGAUAUAACUUAUGGAGAUGCUCUAUGUUCCAGGGAUUGGGAAGAGGCACUCCUUCAGUUGUGGCAAGGCGAACACACCCGGGCCGGCAUACUUCCGUCACCUUGAAGGGUCCUUCCCAACUGGGGGAGAGUUUGUGGAGCCCUUCUCGGUUCAGUACUCGCCUUAGGACUAGGUCCCCGACCCUGAGCUGCCUACUAUGCACGAACCGUUGAUGGUAGCGCCUGAGCGCUUGGUUGUACCGUGCAUUUCGGAUCGCCACUUGCCAUCUGCGCUCGUCGAUGAAGUCCACGUCUUCACGCUGCAGUUGUUCCUGCAUAGACUCAUAAAACGACUGGAUCCAUGGGGAGAAAAUAAUGAUUUCCGGGGGAAGGCAGGCUUCAGCCACAUAGACCAGGAAGAACGGGGUCUCCCUAGUAGCUCGGCUGGGUGUGGUCCAGUUCCCCCAUAGCACGCACGGGAGCUCGUUGACCCAAUUUGCACCAUGCUUUUUCAAGCAGUCAUAGGUGUGUGUCUUGAGUCCCCUAAGGAUCUCUGCAUUUGCCCUCUCAACUUGGUCGUUGCUCCUAGGAUGAGCUACAGACGCGAAGCAGAGUUGGGUGCCGAUGCCCUCCCAAUACUCCUAGAAAAGCCGACUUGUAAACUGGGUCCCGUUGUCCGUAAUGAUACGGCUUGGGACCUCGAAUCUACAGACGAUCGACUUGAGGAAGGCAACAUCAGCACCCUGGGUGAUGCUAACCACAGGGGUGGCCUCAGGGCACUUCGUGAACUUGUCGAUGGCGACAAAGAGGAAACGGUACCCGCCGACGGCCCUGGGGAAUGGUCCCAGGAUAUCCACACCCCAUACAGCGAAUGGCCAGGAGGGUGGAAUCAUCUGCAGAGCCUGAGCUGGUUUGUGUAUCUACUUUGCAUGGAAUUGACACGCCUUGCAGGACUUUACCAUAUCAGCUGCAUCCUGGAGGGUGGUUAGUCAGUAGAAGCCAUGCCGGAAGGCCUUACCGACCAGCGCGCGGGAUGAGGAAUGACUUCUGCACUCUCCUUUGUGGAUCUCCGCGAGUCGCUCGCGGCCCUCCUCCUGGGUGAUGCACCGCAUGAGAAUGCCAUUGGCACCACUGCGGUAAAGAUCCCCCUCUACCACUGUGUAGCGUUUAGCCAACCGCACUAUGCGCUAUGCGAACACAUGAUAUUCAGGAAGGAUAUUUUCCUUCAGGUAGUCCUAGAUCUCGGAGAUCCAUGCAUCGGGACCACUCUGAGAUACUGGCUAUGGCGCUAAGGGGCUGGCAGGACCCCCUGUAGCACACACAGUCUUCGGUGGGUUCUGUAGAUGGUACGCCACUGGGACCGCUAGCUUUGAGGUGCUAGUCUCGCCCCCUUCGUCCAGUUCGACAGGCUGGGCAGUGGGUCUCAGCAGCCGUCUUUCGAAGACACCCUUGGGCACGGGUGCCCAAGUUGAUGCCCUCACAGAGAUCUCAUCUACCGUCGAGUUGUCAGGCCGAGGAACAUGUUGCAGUUCUAGGGUCGUGAAGUCUUUUUUCAGCUUCCUUACGUGGAGGAGGUAAGCUGCGAGCCUGGGCUAGUUGCAGCUACAUUCUCCGCGGACUUGCUUGAUGAUCAGCUGGGAGUCCCCCUUCAUAAGGAGCUGGUGGAUCCCCAGGGAUAGGGCGGCCGACAAGUCGAAGAUCAAUGCUUCGUACUCUACCAUAUUGUUGGUGGCCUUGAACUCAAGGUGCACCAUGUACUUUACUUGAUCUCCACUGGGGUCGAUAAGGACCACCCCAGCUCCGCCAACUUGUUGACGGGCGAAUCCGUCGAAGAAGAGCAUCUAGUGGGGCUCGGUGAAGACCAGACCCCUGGGCUCCACAGAUGUGGGGUCCGAAUCGGGAUCCGGACCCCUAGGAGCGCUCGGGGGAGGUGUCCACUCCACGAUGAAGUCAGCCAGGGUCUGGCUCUUGAUGGCGUGGCGAGGCUGGAAGUCUAGCUGGAACUCAGCGAGCUCCACGGUCCACUUGGCGAUGUUGCCUGUGGCGCUAGAGUUGUGGAGGAUGGCCCUUAACGGAAAGAAGGUCACCACCACGACCCUGUGUGCCUGGAAAUAGUGGCGCAGCUUCCUGGACGCAACAAGCACAACAUAGAGAAGUUUGUGUGUCUCAAGGUACCUGGCCUUUGCUUCAUGGAGGACCUCGCUGAUGUAGUAGACCGGCCUCUAAACGGUCUGGACCCCUGUUGAGCCCUCAGGUUCCUGGCCUUCUAGCACUACCUGGUCUUCUUGUGCCGUCCUUUCGAUGACCAGCACCAUGCUCACCGCUUCUGUAGCCGCCACGAUGUAUAAAUACAACGGCUCCCCAGGUUCUAGAGCUACCAGUAUUGGUAGGGACACCAGAUGUUGCUUCAACUCUUGAAAGGCUUGUUCCACCUCUUCGGUCCAAGAGAAUGGGCCGGACUUCCACAACAGCUUGAAGAAGGGCAGCACCCUCUCAGCUAGCCUUGAAAUGAAGCGGCUAAGGGCGGCUAAUGACACUGUAAGCUUCUGGACGUCUUUGAUGCGGGUCGGAGGCCUCAUCGCCUCAAUCACUUUGAUCUUCUCCGGGUUUGCUUCAAUGCCCCGGUGCAAAACCAGGAAACCCAGCAACUUUCCUGCGGAGACACCAAAGACGCACUUGUCCGGGUUUAGCUUCGUGCGAGUUGCCCGCAUCUUGUCAAAGACCAGGGUUAAGUCUUCUACUAGGGUCGACCCUCUCUUAGUCUUGACCACGAUGUCAUCGACGUAUACCUCCACCUUGUCCCUAAUCAGGUCCCCGAAAGUCUUACUCAUCGCCCGCACAAAUGUUGGCAAGGCAUUUUUUAGACCGUAAGGCAUUACGGCAUAGCAGUAAAGCCCAUCCACUGUUACAAAAGCAGUAUGCUUCCUAUCUUCCCUAGACAUCUGGAUUUGAUGGAAACCAGAGUAAGCAUCUAAGAAGGACAAGAGGUCGCACUCGGAGGUAGAAUCCACGAUUUGAUCUAUCCGUGGAAGUGGAUUCGGGUCCUUGGGACAAGCUUUAUUAAUGCUGGUGUAGUCGAUGCACAUCCGAAGCUUACCAUUUGCCUUUGGAACGAUGACUGGAUUGGCCAGCCACACUGGGUGAUGAACCUCUUCGAUGAAGCCGGCGUCUAGCAGCUUUCGGACCUCCUUUCAGAUAAAGUCCUGCCGCUCAACAGACUAUCUCCGAGGCUUCUGACUCACCGGUUUGGCGUCAGGGUGGAUCUUCAGAUGGUGCUCGAUCACCUCCCUGGGGAUCCCAGUCAUCUGCGAUGGCUCCCAUGCGAACACAUCGGCAUUUGCCUGGAGGAAGGCGACAAGCGCGAGUUCCUAAUUUUCCUCCAGAUCACCCGCAAUGCGAGUGGUCUGGGGGGAAUUUGCGCAGAGCCGGAUGGCCUUGAUGGUAACGUCGCCCGCUCCAGAUGGCCGCACCUUUGGCACCUUGGUAGGCGCCUUGGUACCGGAGGUCGAGGGGUCCCUCCCUCAGCCAUCCGGGCGAGCAGUUUCUGCCGCCAGGGUGUGCAGCUUCUCCACAGCCGCAAGCGCAGCGGCGCGGUCGCCCCGCACGGUGAGGACCCCAGUUGGAGAUGGCAUCUUGAGGACCAAAUACCUGUAAUGGGCAAUGGCCAUGAACCGGUACAGGGCCGGCCUGCCAAUGAUGGCAUUGAACAGGAGGUUAACCUCUGCAAUGUCGAACUGGACGUUCUCUGUGCGGAAGUUUUCCUCUAUCCCGAAUGUAACCGGGAGCGUGAUGCUCCCAAGGGGAUACACCGGUUGAGCACCCACUCCAGAGAAUGGACGAGAGGGUCCCAGUCGGGACCCUGGGAUCUACAGCUGCCUGAACGCAGCUUGGUUGAUGACGUUGAGCCUAGCCCCACCGUCGAUCCGGACGUGAUGCAGCUUGAUGUUGGCAAUGCCAGGGGCGGUGAUGAGCGGCAGUAUGCCAGCCCCUGCCAUGUUCUCGGGGCAGUCAGAUGCCCCGAAGGAGAUGGUGGUGCUCCUCCACCGAUGGUGUGGGGCCGCCCUUGGGACCCCUAGGGUCACCGACAGGACCUCGCGGCGCAGGGACUUUACGUUCCUACGGGAGGUGAGCUCCCAGCUUCCGUCGUACAUCACGUACAGCUUUUUGCGGCGGUCGGUAUCAUCACCGGAGUUGGAGUCUCCAGUGAGGAUGUCCUUGAGGACCUGCUCGGGGGACUGAUACCCGAGGUCUCGCUCUCCCGUGGCCACAUCACCGUCGUCGACCCUCUCCUUGCCAGGCCGGCGACGAGGUGGGGAGCCAUCCUUGGAAGUCUACUCGCGCCGCUCACUGACGCGCGUCACGAGCUUGAUGAUCUCGCGGCACUCCGUGGCGCUGUGGCGACUGUUGGGGUGCACAGGGCAUGAGCCGCUGUUGCCUCCCUGUGGCCGUGGGCACUUGUUGCGCUCGUUUCGGCCCCCAGUCGCGGCUGCGAUGACCGGAGCAGCAGACUGCGGCCUCUCGUGGCCGCGGUUCUUCUUCUUCUUUUUGCCGUCCUGGGUGACGGCACCCUAGGCUACUCCUGUUUGUGGUGUCGAGUGCCAUGCAAGGCCCUCGGCAGCACUUGCACACUUGUCAGCCAGAGCAAAGAGCGUGGUGACAGUUUCCACGUCAUGCGUGGCCAACUUUUCCAGCAUCUUCUCAUCACGUACCCCCUAGCAGAAAGCGAUGAUGAUGGAAGCAUCGGAGAUACGGGGUAUAGUCCCUCGUACCUUAGUGAAGCGGGAGAUGAAAGCCCGAAGAGUUUCCCUGGAUUCCUGCCUCACUGCAUGGAGGUGAGCCUCCACGCCAUGCUGUUGAUAAGCGCUGGCGAAGUUCGUUGUGAACCGCGCGCAUAGCUCUUCCCAAGAGUAGAUCGAUCCCGAGGUGAAGUUCAUGAGCCAGGUCCGGGCUGGCCCAGACAAGUCUACAUGGAAGUAUGUUGCCAUUACAGCAGUGUCUCCACCUGCUGCCGUAAUAGCGGUGACGUAUACCUGCAAGAAUUCUAACGGAUUUCAUGUACCGUCAUACUUCUCCGGCAAGUGUGGCCAGAACUUGGAUGGCCAAGUCGCCGCACGGAGAUGAUCCGCCAGUGCGGCGCAGCCCACGCCGGCCAACGGGACACCUGCCUGAAUUCGGGCACCCCUUGAGUUUGCGGCGCAACCGCAGAGAAGUCUAAGUCGAGGUUGCGACCCUCGACGUUCUGUCGGCAUUCACUCGCCCUCUCUAGAGAGACGCUGGCAUCCUCGCCCGCACGCCUGCGGUUGUGUUCUGCCCGCAGGUCAUCAGGCCUCUCCAUAGAGACUGGAGCGUCCUCUCCCACAUACCUGUGGUUGAGCUCCGCCCGCAGGUCCUCAGUCGGUGCGGCCCUCACCGAGGGUGAGCGCACUGACGCCGACGCCUCAUGUUGACGUCAGGAUGACCGAGGCCUGGGCCUGGCCGAGCCAGAAUGCGCCAUGCCGAGCAAACGGUAGACAUCGUCACACCACUGAUUCAUGGCCCCUGGCGAGGUCGUGGAGCUAGGAGGGUGGCGCAGCAAUUCCCUGGCUGCGGACAACGCCCCAGGCACAGCCCUUGACGCUCUGGAUGUCUACGUAGGAGUGUGCUGCCGCGGAGAGUGCACAGCAGCAGCACCAGGUGUAACACCCCUGGUGUUACGGUCACUAAAACUUGAGCAUGACAUCAUCAGCAUUAGCAUUUCAUAUGUUUGAUACACCUAGAAUGCAUUCACUAGGCAAAAAUUUCAAACAAGUUGUAUUGUUAUGGCAUUUUGCAAAUAAGACCCUAGUAUAGGAUGCUUAACCCUAAACAGGGAUCUGAGGGGUAAAAUAAGACCCAAAUAGAGAAAACCCUAAAUCUUAAGUAAAAUGGUCGUAAAAUGUUCCUAAGAAUGGACCUACAUUACAUUUACACCCCUGAGAUAUCAAAAAUCCUAUUUGGAACCCUGGAAAACCCUAAGCCUAAACCCUAGGGGGUUUAGUGCAAAAUUAGUCCACUUUUGGACUAAAGUGCAAAAACCAUGAUAAUGAAGUGUCCUAAGUCAUAUGGUUCACAAUCAUGAAGAUUUGCAAUCCAAAACUUGAGAUUUGGACUUAUGUGCAAAAGAGCCACACUUGACCCUUUUUGAUGAAGUCUGAAUUUCAGUGUGAUGGAUUCAACUUUGAGCCCUUGUAUCUUUCAAAUUAUUAAGGAUUUGCCCUAUGUCACCACAUCAACUAUGUAGAUCUAUUAAAGGUGAACAACUUUGUUUAAGAGGUUAAGCAUUGUUGUUAUGAAGAAUUGGGAGAUAAUUAAGCCCAAAGUUGGACUUUCAGGCUGUUUGAAGUCUGAAAUUGGAUUACCAGUGGCUUUGAGUCAUCUUUGGAGCUCUACAGAUCAUGAUCUUCAAAGAAUUUGCCCGAGAUCACUAUAACAAAGUUGUACAGCUAUUAAAGAGGAAUAGCUUUGCUGCAGAUAUUAAGUCUUGGUACCAUAUGAAAAUUGGAGUUACUUUGGUCUAAUGAUGGGGUGUCAGACGCAGUUUUUCUGAAUCCCAUGGUACAGUGCCUGAACGGAUCAGAGCAACCGCGCAUCUCACCGCCGACGACCGCCGCCGCGAUUCGUGCCACCGCUGUUGCGAUUCACGCCGCCGAUGACCCGAUAAGGCUGCCAGGUAAAAGCUAUGCGCCUGGAGAUGACUCCGGUGACUCACCGUCGUAUCCCCCUUGCUUUGCGGCCUGAGCAGAUAAGCUCGCCGGUGACAGCCGUCGCACGGCUUGGCGCCACGUGCCCUGGCACCUCCACCGGAUCGCCGUGAACCGCUGUAACCCUCUGUCCAUCGCCGGAGUGACAGCCACGGUGACCGGACAGUAAGCACUUGCGCCAGUAACCUUCCCCUCCUCCGACCGCCGCGCAUCACCACUGAAAUUCCCGGCCACCGCUGUCUCUCCCUAUAAAUUGAAGCCACCGCAAGCUCCAUAGGGUAGUCAAGAACUCAGCCACCAAGAAUCGUCCUCAGUCGAUCGCCAGUGAGCCCCAAUUUUGAACUUCCCCCAAUUCGGUUUCCACCACCGCGAAAACAACCUCACCGCGACCAGUGCAAUUGAGGUCAGUUCAAACCUUCUGCUCCCUCGUUUGAGUGCUUUCAUAACCUCGUGAUGCUUGUCGAACCACCAAAUUGAACUAGGAGCCCACCAAUCACUAGGAACACGAGCACAUGUCCACGUCGUUCGCUGUCCUCGCGGGCAGUGCUAGGCAGAUCACCAAUUAUGAAAUUGAUUGGGGGGAAACCAUUGAUAGGACGUGAAUUUGGUGUAUACCGCUCGGAAGCACCAGUCCUUGCCUCGUUUGGCCGGUCCAGGAGCUCGCCGGAGCUCGGUCGUGCUCUGUGCCGUCGGGGAUCGGGCGGUGUAAAGGAAUAGAAAUCCAGGGGUAUUUCUGCAAACUGUCAGCGACUCCCGAAAACAGUGCUUGUGCUCAUUUCAAAUUAGCCAGAACACUGAGGUCCUUUCUGCAAAGACAGUAGCGAGGACGAGGGCGCGCGCGCUUCUGCUGGCAGUGGGCCGACCUGGGCUGGAUUCGGCCUAGUACUAUUCACGGAUUUCUCUUUUUCUUUUUCCGCCAUAACUAAAUCAAUUUUAGAAAAUUGCAGAAAAAUGGUAAAAAUGUCAAACAAAUUUUGUUAGAUUCCUAAUUUUUCAUAGAUUUUAAUAAAAAUAGUUUUAUGAUUUUUAGGACAAAUAGAGAAUUUUAGAGUAUUUAAAAUAGCCUAAAACCUUGUUUCUGGAUUUUUAGAAAAUAGAUAAUAAUUCCAAAAAUGCCCAAACUUUUUAUUUGAACUCUAAACAAUAUUUAGAAACCUUGGGUAUAGUUUGGUAUGAUUUGGACUUUGUUUGAUAAUUAGAACCCAAAACCCUAACCCCCUCUGCUCUUUGAACUUCACUGUUGACUCCGGAAACCCUAGGUUCUCGGAGUUCUGUGAAGAAAAGUUGUAUUCAAGACUUUAGAUAAUAAACUCUUAUUAUCUUUGCACUUUCAUGAGCAUUACAUGGCAAUCAUUCUUAUAUAUAUAUAUGGUUAUAUUUAGAAAACGAGGAAGAAGUUGAGGUAGAAGAAGAGAAGACUGCACCACCACCACCUGCAGAACAUCAGGCAGGAAAUUGUUUUUACUUUGAUAUCUGCGGAUCCGAGCCUGACUCACCUAUAAAUGAAGGCAAGCCCCGGUGAAUUUGCCACCUCCUUGUGUUUUAAAAAUCUUUUUCACUUGCUUGAUGCAUUAGGUGAUAGGAGUUGAUUGCCAAAACAAUUCCUGCAUUACCUUCCUUGGAUUUGAUUACCUUCCUUGAAAUCCCUGUUUUACAAAAAGGUUUUGAUGCUUAGCUUUGCUUUAGAAAAACAAAAGGUUUUGUUUUUACAAAAAAUGUUGUGGCAAAAGUGGGUGGGAUGUUUUUGAAAAUAAAAUGGAUGAUGGAUCCAUCAAGGCCUUGAUGGGUUCAACAUCGGAAAAGAUGUACCUCUGCCAGGUACCAAACUUUGGGUUGAAAUGAUUAAGCUGAGACCGGGCGGGUGACUUGCAUGAGGAGAGAGUCUCGUUGUAGUGUCUCCGUCUGAGUCGAUUAAGGACCGUGUCGAUGUAGACUUGAUGACCGAGGACCCUUUAACUGGUCACAUGCCUCGUCAUGGGUAAGCUUUGCCUCGGGCAGACUAAGGCCAGAAUAAGAUAACACACAAUGGGAGUGGAGCGAUGGCGAGAGUAGCGUGUACCCUCCGUGGCAAGAGGCUGGACGGUGGUGUAUCUGUGCUCUCGGUUGACGUGAACCUGAUCUGGUCUUAAGAACCCCGGUGGCGGGUUGACAUAUGCAAGGGUUAAGUGCUACAUAUGUCGUGUGAUCGGAGAUCCUCAGCUGAGUAUAAACGAUUCGGAUCGCCGUACCUUCGCGGUUAUGAAGACUUGGUCACUGACCUAUACGUAGAACUCCAGUAAAGGUGAAGGAAUUGUUAAGAAAUUGGCUAGUGCAGGUCAAGUGCUUGAACUAGGGUAGAAAGAACUCUAGUUGCAGGUAAUUCCACUUAACUUGACAAUAAAAUUGGAUUUUUAAGGAUCCACUUAUAGUAAGCAUUUUUGCAAACAGAGUCUUUGAUCAUUGAGAAACCUUACCUUGACUCCCUUAUAACCAGCAUACACUUGAGAGUCUUUUCUUUAGUCGUGUAAGACUUGCUGAGUAAUUCCAUACUCAGGGUUUUAUUCCCCGUUGUUUUUAGGUGAUGAAGCAACAAACUUUUGUUGUUUCUGUUCUAAGGUGGUACCAAAGGAAGAACACCAGGAGUAAAGCUGCGAGAGGAAAGGAUCCUCCAUAAGAACUUUUGUUUAAAAACUUAAUGGGAGGGGGUUUUGCCUCCCUUGGUGUGUAAUAAUAUUACUCUACACUCAUAGGUUUUAUCCUGGUCUGUAAUAUAUAACUUUGUCUUACUUUUAAAAUAAAGGUAAGUUCAUGUAAUUGCUUCCGCAUUCUCGUAACUCCGAUGCUUGUAAUGUCUGCGUGACGGGUGAAAUGCUCUUGGGAAAGGUAAGAAAAGCAGAUACCGAACUUGUCAAGUGAUUCAGGGGCACCUACAGGGUUAUCUGAGUGUCCGUUGGACAAGGACAACUGUAGGUGGGCCUAAUGACUUGGGAGGUUCCGUCACAGCUGGUAUCGGAGCGAAGCCCUUCUCUGCAGAUAUUAUGAGGCAUCUUCAAAAGAAUUUUCUAAAGACUUAUCUAGAAAAUCUCUUCCCUUCUUACCUAAAGUAUUUCUGAAGAGUUUAUCUUAAAGACCAGAUAGUAAGAGUGCAACAUAUAAAAGGGGUGAAUCAACUAAGGUUGAUUCUGUAAUUACACAUGCAUCAUACUAAGAACUAUGCUAAUAAAAUUUUCCCCCUUAGAAAAAUGCCACCGCGCACAAGGAGAACUGCGCGCAAGCAUACUGGCCCAAUUGGUGUGCCAUGUCAUCAACUGGCCCCAAGACACGAGGAUAGCAGUAGUGGGAGUAAUGAUCCGAUCAGGGAUCUUGAAGCGCAGGUUAAUCGGCUUCAAGCAGAACUCCGCCGCCGGACUGACAUAUGGGUCGUGGAUGGCGAUAGAAUCAAUGAAUUGAGAAGCGACGUCCGCCGCCUGCGAGAUCAGCUCGCGGAUCGAGAUUUAGCGCUCGACUGGGUGGUUCAAUCUCGUUCGCUUGCCUAGGCUAAGGAGGCAAAAGCUCGAGCUCGAGUAGAAGAGCUUAGCUCAACCAUUGAUGACCUGCAGGCUUAUUGCAAUACUCUACAUGAAGAAGUUCAUGUACUGUAUUCACAAUUGCACCCCAGUGAACCUGCGGAUCCUGUCGGGACAGAAGUCGGACCUUCUCAUGUAGCGGGAGAAGCUUUUGGUGGCGGAUUGGACCUUUUCAGGCCCCCUCCC
rnacentral:lncRNA from 1 species